rnacentral:lncRNA from 1 species
CCUGCCGAGCAGCAUUCAUAUGAGAUCUCUUCAAACCCUUAAUCUUUCUGGUUGCUCAAACCUUGAGAAGUUUCCAGAGAUUUCAGAUGUUAUGGAGAAGCUAUCAGAGUUAUAUUUAGAUGGGACUGCAAUUAAAGAACUGCCUUCGUCAAUUAAUAAACUCACGGGCCUUACUGUUUUGGACCUAUAUGGGUGUCAAGAACUCAAGAGCUUGCCGAGCAGCAUUCGUGUGGGAUCUCUUCAUACCCUUUUUCUUUCAGGCUGCUCAAAACUUGAGAAGUUUCAUGAGAUUUCAGAUGUUGUGGAGGAGCUAUCAGAGCUUCAUUUAGAUGGGACUGCAAUUAAAGAAUUGCCUUCGUCAAUUAAUAAACUCACAGGUCUUCUUACUUUGGACCUACGAGGCUGUCGAGAACUCAAGAGCCUGCCGAGCAGCAUUCAUAUGGGAUCUCUUCAAACUCUUAAUCUUUCUGGUUGCUCAAACCUUGAGAAGUUUACAGAGAUUUCAGAUGUUAUGGAGAAGCUAUCAGAGUUAUAUUUAGCUGGGACUGCAAUUAAAGAACUGUCUUCGUCAAUUAAUAAACUCACGGGCCUUAUUACUUUGGACCUGAAAGGUUGUCGAGAACUCAAGAGCCUGCCGAGCAGCUUUCAUAUGGGAUCUCUUCAAACCCUUAAUCUUUCUGGUUGCUCAAACCUUGAGAAGUUUCCAGAGAUUUCAGAUGUUAUGGAGAAGCUAUCAGAGUUAUAUUUAGAUGGGACUGCAAUUAAAGAACUGCCUUCGUCAAUUAAUAAACUCACGGGCCUUACUGUUUUGGACUUAUAUGGGUGUCAAGAACUCAAGAGCUUGCCGAGCAGCAUUCGUAUGGGAUCUCUUCAUACCCUUUUUCUUUCAGGCUGCUCAAAACUUGAGAAGUUUCCAGAGAUUUCAGAUGUUAUGGAGAAGCUAUCAAAGCUUUAUUUAGAUGGGACUGCAAUUAAAGAACUGCCUUCGUCAAUUAAUCAACUCAGGGGCCUUACUGUUUUGGACCUAUCUGGGUGUCUAGAACUCAAGAGCCUGCCCUGCAGCAUUCAUAUGGGAUCUCUUCAAACCCUUAAUCUUUCUGGUUGCUCAAAAUUUGAGAAGUUUCCAAAUAUUUCAGAUGUUAUGGAGAAGCUAUCACAACUUUAUUUAGGUGGGACUACCAUUAAAGAACUGACUUUGUCAAUUAAUAAACUCACGGGCCUUACUGUUUUGGAUCUAUCUGGGUGUCAAGAACUCAAGAGCCUGCCGAGCAGCAUUCGUAUGGGAUCUCUGCAAACCCUUAUUCUUUCAGGCUGCUCAAAAUUUGAGAGGUUUCCAGAGAUUUCAGGAAUGGAGAUGCUAUCAGAGCUUCAUUUAGAUGGGACUGCAAUCAAAGAACUGCCUUCAUCAAUUAAUAAACUCACGGGCCUUCGUCAUUUAGAUGGAGUCCAAUCACGUGAUUCUUGGGUACCAGGGCAGCAGCAUCGCAUCAGAAGGUGUGGAGUUCGUCUCUUUUAUGCCAAUAGUGAAGAGAUGCAUAACCAAAGCAUGACACAGCCUGACUAUCCAUCAUGAAAAUUCUGAAGCGGAAUUUCGUGCUUUUGGCAGAUCACUGGUAAGAGUUGCUCAUUCUAAGAGGAACCGUGAGGGGUGUUGCUAUAAUGCGGCUGAACAAAGUUGAGGUCAGGCCCGGCCCAGGCGCAGUGCAACAGGGGCAAUUGUCCAGGGCCCAAAGUUGAAUGGGGCACCCAAAAAACAAAAUCCAAAUAAUUAGGUAUAAAAAAAAAUUUGUCCAAAGCCCAAAAUAAAGGCUGUAGGCGAUAACUUGUCCAGGUUUUGGGGAUUAAAAAUCAAUAUAACAUAAAGGGUAUCUGAAGGGGACAAGUCGUCCAGGUUUUGGGCAUGGAGGAGAGGCAUAAGAUUCAAGUUUUUCAAAGGGAGCUCCCUCUCUGCUUGGAGCUUGUCACCCAACUGCCCAAGCCCAAGGUACUACGGAGAACACAAACCCUUCUCAAAUUUCAGCUUAAUUUUUGUGUUCUAAGUCGGAAGCUUCGUUUCUUUUGCUUGAAUUGUUCUGGUUUCUGUUUUCAAAAUUGGGGUUUUUUUUGUAGCUAUUGAGAGGUGCAAGCAGCAGAUUUCAGAUGCAACCGCAAAUUACCUGCAUGGACAAUCUAAGUGUUCUGAGCAGACUUCAAGUGAGGGGCAUGUUUUUGAGGAAUUCAUUCCAUUAACACGGAUUUCAUACAACUCCAGAUGCACCACUCGAAGAGGUAUAAAAAAAAGACUCCACCUUCAUCAAUUUUAGUAAAUUUUGUGACUGCCCUUUUGUUUGGUUGCUUAUAAAAUUUGAGGUGAAGAAGUGGAAAGUAUUGAUUUUUAGGUGUAGGGUAAUGGCAGGAGGAGCAAGUUAAAGGCUAUAGUGAUGGAGAUGAAGAGAAAUGGGGUGCUUUUCAGCCUUUCCAAAGGAAAAAAAAAGCAUUGGAAAGACAAAUGGACCGGUGGCUAAAGAACCUUCUUCGGCUCCGGCUACUAGUUCCACCACGGACACCGUGAGUGGAGACAGUGGUGGGAACAACAAGAACAAAGAGAAAGAUGGACAGGGAAACGAAGGCGAAACUGGUCACCGGAGUUGCACCGCCGGUUCUUGCAUGCUCUUCUCUUCAACAACUUGGUGGUUCACAUGGUAUGCAGUUGAGAUUAAUUUAGUGGGAUAUGUUAUUUUAUAUGAUGAUUGGAUGAAUAUGUGAUUGGAUUGUGAUGUAUUGGAUGUGUUUAAUGCGUUCUGCGUAUAUGUGAUUUUCCAUCUGUUUUUAAUCAUAAUUUGGUUGAUGUGAAAAAUUUUGCACAUACAUGAUAGAAAUUGGAAGGCAUUUUGCAUGCUACUAGUGAUAAUUUUUUUACACAUACAUGUGAUUAAGCUCGCAAAAUAUUUAUUUUAAACAUAUGUUUCUGUACUAAAAAGGGCACAUUUUGAACUUUCGCACUGGGCAUCAAAAAAACUCAGGACCGGCCCUGGUUGAGGUGAAACCCCCGACGUGGAGGAUUUAUAUCCUAAAAGAUUGGUACUUCCUGAUGGGGCAAAGGAAAACUGAAGAGAAUAAUUCCUGUGUGUUGGAUUUGACUGCUCAGUUCUGUUGGGUCUCGACCCUUUCUUACGCGGACCUAAAACCAAACUGUUGUGGCUCUUUAGUUGGCAUGUGCGGAUCACAUGCUAGGUCUUUUUAGCGCUCAUAAUAUAAAGCCUCACAUUGUGCAAUUUGGACGAGAGGUUGAACCGAAGCAGCUGCACUAGUAUGACGGGAAGAGGAGCCGAAACCCAAUAGAAGAGAGAAAUAAUUCGGAGCUGCUGCAUUUUUAUUUUUUUUUGGUAAGAGUGAAACCAGUUAGAGAUUGUUGUAGUUGCAGAGAGACAAAUAUUUUGUUUCUAAUUCGUUUAUUCGCUCAUCUAUUUGUGUGUAUUUGAGUGUAUUUUGGGUUUGAGUUUGAGAGCUUUCUUUGUAAUCUCGUUUUGUUUAUUAGUGGAACUUCCUCACUGUCCUUAAACUGGAUGUAGGUUUAUGCCGAACCAGUAUAAAUCUUUGUGUCAUUUUGAAUUGUUUGGUUUUUCAUAUUUUUUCGUAUUAGUUUAUUGGUUUCAAAUUAGCGCUUCCACACAACACUCUAAACCCAGUGAAGGUGGAGAGGAGCUUCUUGUAUUUGGAAGUGCCAAUCAGAUAAUUUGUCAUCCAAUUUGACAUUGUCAGGAAGUGGAGUGGAGAUUGUUGUAAUGUUAAUUCAACAUUAGAACAAGAGAAAUAGCUCGAUGUGCUGAAAUUGAAGAAUUCAGUUGCAAACAACACAUUUAUGUUGCUCAUCAGAACAAGAUAAAUUAGAAUAAUUAAGUUUUUAAUUGCCCAAUUAUUCCAUCCCAUAUGAAUUUAGAAUCUGGAGGACGUGUUUCUGCUUUGUUUUCAAAUGUCCUAAGCACUUUGUAGAGCUGUGGCAACUUUGCAGCCACAAGACAUCAAUACCAAUUACCAAGUACCCUUAAUUACUCUUCCAAAUGUCUCAUAUACUCUUCGUGUUGACGCGAACGAGAGAAUUUUCAAUGUGCUUGGCACACGGCUUGGUACAUCAAGUUUUAUAAUAUAAUUAGCUGGAAAUUUGAAAUAUUUUUUUAAUGAAUUGUAUCAUGACUCAUGGUGUUCGAGUAAUGUGCCGGCCACACAAAAAAAAUUCUUGACAUGAACACAAUCAAAGGCAUUGCUGUUAGUUACUCAUAAGAAUACAAAGGUUACAUGAAAGAAAAAGAUUAGACUUCUCAUUCCACGUUCAACUUAAAUGAAUUGCACACGAGUUACUUAGUUACACAAUUAUGUAAACGUACUAAAGUGUGCACAGCUUUCGGAUUAGGUGGGUUGGAUGUAGACACAAACUCUUAUUAACCAUUUUAAAUGGGUCAACACGAUUAUGCCCGACUCAAACAAAUUUAUUUUUUGUCUUUUCCAAGUCGAAUUGUCGAAUAUGUCUAAAAUUGUUACCUCUACUCUUUCUUGGCACUUUCUACCUAAAUUCGAGCAAAAACAAUGAAAGUUACAUCCGAACAAAAAUACAAUAAAAGAUACAUCAUCCAACAACUUUCAUAUUUUUAAUAGAAAAACACGCAUGUAAGUGGCCUUUACAAUGGUAGAGAAAAGUACUACGGUGGGAGCUAGCACCAUGGAUAGAGAUUUUCCAGCCACUGUGAAGCUCGGAAAUGGCAGGACUAUUACCGGGGUUUCGCUCUACAGGGGAAGGAUGAUGCUGUCAACAAACAAGCAAUACCCUGUUGUGUAUUUGGGAAGCAAUUCAACUAGUCCUAAUCCGAGCUCGCUGUGUUUGGAGGGGACGUUGGAUCGCCGAGUUGUGGCCGGAAAGAUUGUGAUUUGCGACCGUGGGAUUAGUCCUAGAGUGCAGAAGGGAGAGGUGGUGAAAGAAGCCGGAGGAGUUGGGAUGAUCUUGGCAAACACAGCUGCAAACGGAGAGGAGCUUGUGGCGGAUUGCCACCUUGUUCCGGCGGUUCCUGUGGGAGAGAACGAAGCAAAGGGAAUCAAGCAUUAUGCUUCAACAAGCCCGAGAGCCACCGCAACUCUAACAUUUCUUGGAACUAGAGUUGGGGUUAGACCGUCGCCUGUGGUGGCAGCGUUUUCAUCCAGAGGGCCAAAUCUGGUAAGCCUUGAGAUUCUCAAGCCGGAUAUGGUGGCACCAGGAGUGAACAUCCUCGCCGCUUGGACAGGCGCAUUAGGCCCGUCCAGCUUGCCAGCAGAUCGUAGAAGGGUGAAGUUCAAUAUACUGUCCGGGACUUCAAUGUCCUGCCCCCAUGUGAGCGGCAUUGCCGCUCUGCUCAAGGCAAGGCACCCGGAUUGGAGUCCGGCGGCAAUAAAGUCCGCCUUGAUGACAACCGCUUAUGUCCACGACAACACGCGAAAGCCUCUACAAGACUCCUCAGCAGCUUCAAUUUCAACCCCGUACGAUCACGGUGCAGGGCACAUAAACCCGGGGAGGGCUCUUGACCCGGGAUUGAUUUACGACAUUGAGGCGCAUGACUAUCUUGAAUUCCUCUGCACACAAAGGCUAACACCAACACAGCUCAAAGUUUUUACCAAGUACUCAAACAGAAGUUGCAAGAACAAUCUAGCCAGUCCCGGGGACUUGAACUAUCCGGCACUCUCGGUUGUGUUCCCGGAGAGAACAAAUGUUUCUGUUUUGACACUUCACAGAACUGUCACUAACGUUGGCCCUGCGGUUUCGAAUUACCACGCCAUUGUUUCACCGUUCAAAGGUGCUUAUGUGAAAGUCGAGCCUCGGACGCUGAAAUUCACCAAAGCCAAUCAGAAGCUGUCAUACAAAAUCAUCUUCACUACGAAAUCCCGGCAGGCAGUCCCGGAGUUCGGCGGGUUGGUGUGGAAGGAUGGAGUGCACAGGGUGAGAAGCCCCAUUGUUGUAGUGUGGCUGCCACCACUAUAAAUCCUGCACCGGAUUAAUUUUAAUGUGUGUUUUUAUUAAUGCUCUUUUGAAUAAACAAAUUUUCUGUAAUAGUUAGCAUCCUUCCUCUGCUUCUUGCUGUGAUCUUCUAGCUACUGUCAACCUUAGAACACAAGCGAAACAACGAUGUGUAGUGAAAACGUAGAUUACGCAAGUUCAAAUCACAUUGAUGUUGUUAAUUAGAAGAUUCAGAACUAGAUUAGAAUAAUUUCUUAAUUUGCUCAAUUUCUAUAUUGAUUCACAUGUUUCUGCACUAUUUUCAUGUCACGACUCACAAGCAUUUGGUAGGAGUUCUGGUAGUUUUUGCGAGAAUGACAAUUUCAGACAUGCACGAAACAAAACAAAUUUAAACACGACACGUUAUAGGACAUGAGAUUCACGAUAUUUGUAGCCGCAUAAAUAUGAAGAUUUUAUGGUAGGUUAUACCUUACCAAAAUUUCAACUUGUCCAAAGGAUUAAGUGCACUUGAUAUUCGAGAUGUCUCACUAAUUGUGUGAAUAUUUCAAUUCGAAUAUGUCUCCAGUUAUACUCAAGUUUUUCUCCGAACUGUUUGAGUACAAUUUGGAUCAAAUUCAAUACCGUCAUGAACAGCUUACAAACUAAACUCAAGAAAUGGGAUUACCAAUUUACCAGCAUUAACCUUUUUGUUUCUUUUGACGAAAAAAAAAAAAAUUUAAUGCUGGCGGGACGUGGGCCUAUUUGGACUCAUUCUGAUGGGCCUUCUAAAAAUUUAAAACCAAGCUAGUCCAAUUCGUAUUUGAAUUUCCCAAUACGUUGAAGAAUUAUUUUAGGAUGAUGUUAUCCAAACACUCAUUUCUUCCUUUCAUACACUUCUUUUGAUUUUAGGCAAUCGAAUCAAAUAAAUUGAAGAAGAUCAAAUGACAAAAUUAAUAAAAAUAUGUGAGAGGUAAAAAAUAUGUGUAAAUAGCACUACCCUUAUUUUAUUACUAGCUUCUUUCUUUUGCAUUUGAUUUUUUUUGGAUACUUUAUUCUUUCUUUUUUUAAAUUGGCUUAAUUUUAUAUUUAGAAUAAAUUCAACAAAAAAAAAACUAUUAACUUCUCAAUAAGAAGCGGUUAUUUCUUUUUAAUUUUUUAAUUACUAAAUUGUUAUUUAAAAUUUACUAGAAUAUGCUACGUACAAACUGUCACUUGUUGUGGUCUAUUUUUAUCUGACAGAGAGACUAAGGCCGUCGGCAGAGAAAGAGAGGAGAGAUGUGUGUUUGUAGAAUUGUAGGGGAAUGUAUGUGUUGUUAUCCCUCCUACAUUGUGCCUUUAUUUAUAGUAGUAAAUGGAGAGAAGAUAUUCCUUCUCCUCCAAGUAAUACAAGUUGUAAUAGGAAAGGAUAACUAGAAUCAAAUCUAAUAUAGGAUUUACACAAUCAUACUUAUUCUAGGAAUGUUUACAACACUCCCCCUUGAGUGUGCAAAUACUUAAGGUAGAUUCAGCAUCAUGCAAAAGUUGAGAAAGUCGACUCGUCGACAUUGAUUCAAAGGAACAACGCUUAUUCUCAAUAAGGUAGGAACUUGCAUAAGUAGUAAGUGUCACUAAAAAAACCCUAAGGCUAUGGCAAAAACCCGAGUAGGGACAAAAUUCAUAGUCUAAGGAAAAAUGCGUGAGAAAUGCAAAGUCAAAAGAAAUGUCUACAGGACGUCAUCAGGGAUAUGACCAGCCCAAGGUGGGUGCCUCGUUAAAACCUAGUUAGGUAGCAAAAACCCAGUGGGAAAAAUGCUUCUAAUCGUAGGGAAAAAGAGUACAUUAAGAUCAAGCAAGUAUCCAGAAGAUACUCCCCCUAAGUUUGACAUAAUUCCAAAGAGAAAUAGCAAAGUUACAACUCAGAAAGUUUAUGCAUACCAAUUCCAUGAGCAAGCUUCUGAAACGUCGCCUUCGGUAGUGAUUUGGUGAAGAGGUCGGCCAGAUUGUCUUGUGAUCGGAUUUGCAUGACUUCAAUCUUCUGAUGUUCUUGUUGUUGAUGUGUAAAAGAAGAACUUCGGCGCAAUAUGCUUGGUGUUGUCUCCUUUGAUGUAACCCUUCUUGAGCUGUUCGAUGCAAGCUGCGUUGUCUUCAAAAAUCGUCAUCGCGGCAUUAACGGCAUGAUGAAGAUCACAGGAGCUUCGAAUAUGACCCACUACUACUCUCAACCAAAAGCAUUCCCGAGUUGCUUCAUGUAAGGCGAGAAUUUCAGCAUGGUUAGACGAAGUGGCAACUAAGGUCUGUUUAGUUGACCUCCAAGAUAUUGUGGUGCCUCCAACGGUAAAGACAUAACCCGUUUGAGAACGCGUCUUGUGGAUCAGAUAAGUAUCCAGCGUCGGCAUAACCAACAAGGCGAGAAUCAACCCGACGAGCAUAGGGUGCGGCAUCACUCGAGGAUUCGUAGGGAUAGAAUAAGCCCAAAUCCGUAGUACCCUUAAGGUAACGGAAGAUGUCUUUCACGCCAGUCCAAUGUCUGCGUGUUGGUGCAUUAAUGUAUCUUGCCAAAAGAUUAACAGCGAAGGAGAUGUCGGGUCUAGUGCAUUGAGUUAAGUACAAUAAAGCGCUUAUCGCACUUAGAUAAGGAACUUCAGGUUCUAGAAUCUCUUCAUCAUCCUCCUUCGGACGGAAGGGAUCUCGCUUUGCAUCUAGCGUACGAACGACCAUAGGAGUACUCGAAGACUUCGCUUUAUCCUCAUUAAAACGGCGCAACACCUUUUGGGUGUAGUUCGAUUGAUGUACUAAGAUUUCAUCCGAACAAUGCUCUAUCUCGAGACCGAGACAGUAUCGAGUCUUACCUAGAUCUUUCAUCUCAAAUUCCGAGUUCAGGUGCGAAGCAGUUCUCGCUAGCUCUUCAGGAGUUCCGAUGAGAUUCAUGUCAUCGACAUAUACUGCAACAAUCGCAAAUCCGGAAUGUGACUUCUUAAUGAACACACAAGGGCAUAGUUCGUUGUUCACAUAUCCCUGACUAGUCAAAUACUCACUCAAACGGUUAUACCACAUUCUUCCGGAUUGUUUCAAACCGUAUAGUGAACGCCUCAGCCGAAUUGAGAGCGUGUUCCGGGGUUUGGACAUAUUUGAACCAGUCAAUGUAAGUCAUUCGGGAACUUUCAUAUAAAUUUCCGUAUCAAGAUCCCCAUAGAGAUACGCGGUUACUACGUCCAUCAGCUGCAUAUCCAGUUUUUCGGAAACUACCAAACUGAUAAGGUAUCGAAAAGUAAUCACAUCCAUAACGGGUGAGUAAGUUUCGUCAUAGUCAAUCCCGGGGCGUUGUGAGAAACCUUGUGCUACUAAUAAGUCUCAUUUUGCAUGCAUUUAUAUCUACCUUAUUGGGCGUCUUUGUGAUGUUUUUUUUAUUAAGCUAGUUGCAUUUUACAUUAUUUGGUGUUAGUGUGUAGCCAAGUGUGUAUUUGGAUCAAUGGGAAGGCAAAUGAAGUAAAAACAUUCCUUUUGGUAGCUGAGCAUUAUUCCAAAUGUGGAGAGGAUUCUAGGGAGUUAAUUUGAAGUCCAAAUGAAGAAUCUAGGAAACAUUUGGCUGCUGGAAUUUCAGGAAAGGAUGUGGAAGUGUUAAGUGGUGAAAUUCGGCCAUAUUGGGUGAUUCUAAACAAGGCAAAAACAUUGAAGUCAGAUUAUGUGGUUCUAACACCAAAACAUGCAUUCACAUGCAUGUUCACAACCUGGCCGUGCAUUCCAUUACCUUUCCAGCUCCCUUUUGCACCAAGAACAUGCACUUCCAUUACUUAAUUCACAUUAUGCCAUCCCAGCUCCCUCAUGCCCAUGCCGUGCACUGUCAUACCUUUUCCAGAUUUGUACAACCAAUUCCAGGUUGUCCAUUUCAGCUUUGCAGCCAAUACACAUGCAUGUUCAAUUAAAAUAGCUAUAUGCAUGCAUAUACACCUUGUGCCGUGCAUCCACCACCUCAGAAACUCACUCAUUCCAGCUCAUUUAUGCACUUCCAUCUCACAUGUGCAAUUCCAGCUCCAUUCUUAAUGAUGGCAGUGACAUUUCCCUUCUAUAAAAACCGUGCAAACUCACUUCUUUUGGGGGUUCUUCCAUUAUUUUGGGGGAUGAUUCACACAUUCUAAGCCGCUCCAUCUCUGUCCAUUUACUCUCCCAUUUGCAGAGAACAUCCAACCUUAAGCCGAUCCAUUUCCGUUUCAUCACACUUGGAGAAUCAACACCGAAGGCCACUCUUAAAGGAUUUCAGCAUCAGUUUUGCUUCAAGGGUUUCUUUUUAUUAAUUCUAUGUUCACUCAUGUUAUUUAUUAUUAUGUCCAACCUUUUGUAAACAUGAAGUGUAACUAAUCUCUCUCUAGGGAUUCGAUGUAGCCUUGCAAGAUUGCUAUGUAGUUAAUUCAGAAUUCCCAGUUAGUCUAUCUAUUUCUUGUUUCAUUCUCUGGUUUAAUUGUGACUUAGUGAGUUGAUUUUAAUGCUUGAUCAUCAUUUGAGUUAACCAUAGGUUGUUUAGCCAAGAUUAAAGCACACAUCAUGCAUAAUCUUGGUGGAUAUGUGAAUGAAUGAAGGGAAUGUUUUGCAAACAUCCUGCCGAGUGCUCCCUUGGGUUUUAUGAAAGUUUCUUGUGCAUUACAUGUUCUUGAUUAGGAACCAAAGUUGCACAUCACAAUUAGGUUCAUGAUUAGAGACAUUUGAUCAAAUCCACACAUCAUAUGGUUGAUCAUAUCCAUGUGAAACAAACUCAAGAAAUAGGUAGAUGACUGAGUAUAAACUGAUUUAACAAACAUGGCCUUAGGUUAGCAAUGGUAAAAUCGAAUCCCUAGCUUCAUUUCCAUUGGUACUAUUCCAUUCUAUUAGUUGUUGAUUCAUUUAUUUGUGUUCACUUCAUUUUCUUAUGUUUUUAAGUUACAACUACAAAAUCUGCCUACAUUGAUUAGUUUUAUUUCUCUAAUAGGAGCUUUUGCAAAACAAGUGGUUAUAUAAGAUCAAUUAGUCUCUGUGGAUUCGACACCCUUACUUGUGCCAUUAUACUAAACAUAUUCUAGCCCUAGCAAGGAAUAAAACAUCAACAGCUACAAGAUGAGCUUUGUAACGCACAAUUUCAUUCUUCUCAUUACGCUUCCGAACGAAAACCCACUUGGUACGUAUGACCAACGAUCGAGCAAUCAUUUGUAAACGCUUAAUGAAAGCCUCUGCCAGGCCGUUCUGGGUGUGAACAUGGGGUACAUGAUGUUCAACUUCAACCCCAACCGACAUGCAAUAGUCAUCAAAAGUUUUAGAUGUGAAUUCUCCAGCAUUAUCUAAUCGAAUAGAUUUGAUCAGAUAAUCAGGGUGGUGAGCCUUGAGCUUGAUAACCUGAGCCAACAGUUUAGAGAAUGCAGCGUUCAUUGUGGACAAUAAGCACACGUGUGACCAACGUGUAGAAGCGUCAACCAAAACCAUAAAAUAUCUAAAUGGUCCGCAGGGAGGUUGAAUCGGUCCACAAAUGUCCUCCUGAAUCCGUUGUAGAAAAAUGGAAGGAUUCGAACAAAUCUUGUCAUAAGAAGGCUUAGUAAUAAGCUUUCCCAUAGAACAUGUUUGACAUGCAAUUUCAUGGAUCGAACCUAAGCUUCGGGUUAGUGGAUGCCCGUGUGAAGUUUUGAGGAUACGGCGCAUCGCUAUUCGUCCAGGAUGUCCCAAACGAUCAUGCCAAAGUGUAAUUUCGUGCGCGGUCCCUGUGGUAGGGCCGGCCACAUAAUGGCAUUCUAUGGGGCAUAUGGUCGUAGUAUACAGACCACUCGGGUUACGCUCCAUCUUCUCUAGAAUACGCUUCUGGCCAUAUUCGUAGGAAGUUACGCACAGAAAUUCAACUCCGUUUUCUACGUGGGUUUCAGCGUGGUAAUGGUUAUCUCUAAUGUCCUUGAAACUUAGUAACGUUCUUCCGGAACGUGGAGAAUAGAGUGCCUCAGCAAUGGUCAAGAUUGUACCAUUGGACAACAUUAUACGUGCCUUACCGUAUCCUUCAAUCAGGUUGGAUGGGCCUGAGAGGGUUGUCAGAGGUGCAUUCUUAGGUACGAAGUUAGUGAAAUAGAUGCGUUCACGCAAAACAGUAUGUGUGGUUGCACUAUCUGCCAGACAACUAACUUUCCCACUAGUCAUACCUAGAAUGAAAAAUUAAUUUGAAUCGGUCACAUGCAUAAAAGUUUAUAAAAACAAGUAUCAAUUCAAAAUAAUUUCAUUUAUUAAAAAAAAACCUUAAUAUCCAAAAUAAAAACCGCCAACUAAUAAUCCAAAACAUAAAGGAAAAUUGUUCAAAAUCAACCAAAAAAACAAGUUGGGGUUCGGCCACUAGGUGGAAUUCGGCCCCAAUUGUCUUAUUUUAACUGAAAAAAUAAGUCUAUGUCUAAGAUUCUAAUCUUCCAUAGGAGUGGUAUCCUCCUGAAAGUCAGAAACCUCCAUCUUUGUAGUCUCCGGUGCGUCCACUUGCAUGAAGUUUGAUUCAAACUUCUUACGACGAGAAUGAUAUUCAUCUACAACCUUCUUGGGAGCACGGCAAACACGGGACCAAUGGUCCUUUGAACCACAACGAUAGCAUAUAUCGUCAUUCAUUGUGGAAGGUGCUUUGCCCUUAUUCUUGAAGUUCGGGCCCUUAGGAGCGAGGUUUGGGCGCUUCGGGGCUUUGUUUCCUCCCAGAGACCUCCAAAGCGGUGAAGUCGAGUUUGUUCAAAUUCGACAUGUUCCUAUCACAAAAUAGAUGGACAAGAUGUGGUUAGUGUAAUGGAGAAAAAUCAAUCCAUUCACAUAGGAGUAGAACAUACAGGUUCUAAUAGACAUGUAUUGGUUUAAUUUCGCAUGAAAAACUUCGGGUUUCAUGGGUGAUAUGUUUAAGUGAAAACUUCAGGUUUUCAAAUAAGGCAUGUUUAUAAGAAACUUCGGGUUUCAAAGUAAUUAUGAACUAAAGGUUCAUAUAUUCCUGCAGGCAAACACAAAUAUAUAUGCAAACAAAUAUGCAACAAAUAUUGUAUGCAAAAAUAUUGUAUAAUGAUAAUUGAAUGAAUGUUAUUUUGGUCUUCGAGGCCAAAUUAAAGUGUGGGUGAAAAUAUAAAAACCCAUAUUAUUUAAAAAAAAUAUAUAUUAAAUAAUAAAAUCUCGGGGCCUAAAAAUAUAGGCCGAGAACCCUCGGGUGGGGCUACAGGCCCACGGGGAGAGCAGGGGGUUGGGCUGCUGCGGGCAGACCCCCCAAAACAUAUUUUUUUCACAAAGGGCUGCAUCAAGCAGGCCCAAAAGAAAACUAAAAAAAUCUUUUUUUUUUCUUCAGACUGGGCCGCUGAAAGCGAGCCCAGAAACAAACAAAAUUUGUGUUUUUUUUUCGCGCGGGCCGCUUUAGGCUGGCCCAAAAAAAAAUCUCUUUUUUUUCGUACGGGCCAAGAGGCUGGAGCCUACUAGGGCUCGGGUUGCAGGUAGCAGACACCCCAGCGACGCUGGGUGUGCUUGGCCGAGGAAAAAGGCCGGAAAAACUAGGACGACGCCACUGCAGGUGGUUGUCCUUGGUGUGUGCAAGCCAUGGUUCGUCGGAGAACCAAGUAUCUAUCGACGGAGAUGAAAUGUCGACAUGAUAUCAAAACCCUACAAAUUGAAAUCGAAUUUUCAAAAAAUUAUGACGAGAUUCCGUUGAAUCUCAGUUCAAUUGUCGACAUGGGACGACUUCAGGUCGUCGAGAAUAUGAACCAAAGGUUCAAGGCUGUGGCUGCAGGCCAUGCCAUGGUCGGGGGACACCAGGAAGGGUGUCAGGAUUUUGGGUUGGGGGUUUGGCUUUGUGGGUUUUUUCUGGGAACAAGGAGAGCUGCAUGCUCUCUGCUUGCGUGGAGACCCCAUCUGCAGGAUGGUGGUCACGGGUUCUAAAGAACCGAGGUCCCAAUCGCAAAAAAAAAAUGUUUUUUUUUUCAAUUCAAUUAUAUUAUAUGCAUGUAUAAUUUUAAUGAAUCACAUAUUUACGUUGAUGCAUAUGCAAAUAAUAGUUUCAAUGCAUGUACAUAUGUAAGAUUCAAUUCAUGACAAAUAUCAAAUUCACAUAAUUGUAGCAAUUUUGGUUAUGAAGCAUACACAAUUUAUGUAGAAUCUAAAAUACGUAAAACGUAAAGUUGGGUCAUGCAUCAUGGUGAAUGUUCAUGCUAUCAGGGCUUACAAAAUAUCGAGUUAAAAACCGUUGUUUGGAAAGAACCUGAUUGCGUGAUGAUAUGGAUGAACUGGUUUGAUGCAGAAAAAAAAUCUCCAACGUCAGAUUCCUAAGCGCAGCGGUAGGAGCGUGCUGAUAACGUGUUGUGGUCUAUUUUUAUCUGACAGAGAGACUAGGGCCGGCGGCAGAGAAAGAGAGGAGAGAUGUGUGUUUGUAGAAUUGUAGGGGAAUGUAUAUGUUGUUAUCCCUCCUACAUUGUGCCUUUAUUUAUAGUAGUAAAGGGAGAGAAUAUAUUCCUUCUCCUCCAAGUAAUACAAGUUGUAAUAGGAAAUGAUAACUAAAAUCAAAUCUAAUCUAGGAUUUACACAAUCAUACUUAUUCUAGGAAUGUUUACAACAUCACUUAAUUUUUUGUUUUGUUUUUAAAGUUAAAGCAGAGCAGCAAGAGAGUGAGAGAUAACGUAAGAGUGAGGAGAGAGAGUAUUAUUUUUUUAUUUUUUAAAAUAGAUAUGUUAAAAUUACCUAUAAGUGGGGUUUGAAUUAAAAAUAACAAAAUUUUGUUUUGUAAAAUUACGUUAUUGCCUUUAACGUUUUUAUUGUAAUAAUAAUUUUUUCAUCUUCUUUUAAUUGACAAAGAUAAUUCUAUUAAUAUGUAGUUUAGUUAAGAUAAACAAAAAACCUUUUUGGCAUAAGUGAUGUUCCAACAAAGUUUAUUAUUAUUUUUCUUUUUUUUCUUUCCGUUUUUCUUCUUAUUUUUUUUGCUAAUUUUCCUGGUUCGUUUAAUUUUUUUUACAAAAAUACCCUGUGACACCUUGUGACUUUAAAGUAAAGUUCUGGCUUCCUAAUGACAAAAAUAACUUUUUUAACAAACGAUAUUAUUUGUACUAAGAGAAAGGGUGAGCUAAGCCUUACAAUGACCUAGCAAUAAUGUGGUUCAAAUUCACCUUUAGCGAUAAUUGAAACUAAAAAUUAGAAGUGAAAAUGAAUACUAUUAGACCAGAAUAUUAAGUGGUAACAGUGAAGAUAAAUUAGUAAUAUUAUUAUUUUUAUGUACAAACCUAGUAGAAAGAAACUCAUUAACUUCCCGAACAUUUUUCAGAGUAUUCUCUCUUUCCAAUUUUAUAGAAUUACAUUUUUUUUUUUGAGAUGGUGCUAGGAAACCACCUAGUAAAAAGAAACUUAUUUUCGUUGACUCAUUUGACUCUCCGACGAUUUUACAGAGUUUUUUUCUUUCAAAUUUUAUAGAAUUAUAUAUUUUUAAUAAUGUUAAGGAAAUCAAAAUUUUAAAUCAAAUUUACAAGUUAAAUAAUAUUUCACCAAUUAAAAACAUCACGUUAAUCGACAUUCAAUGAAUAAUCUAAUCUCUACUAAUUAAUAAAACUUUUUUUGUCAACCAAAAGAGGGUGAAAAGACAAAUUUGUCACAUCCUGGCCCGGGUCCACCACUUUCCGGGCCCGUUCCACCAUCGUAGUACGAUAUUGUCUGCUCUGGGCUUACCAUUCCCUCACGGUUUUGUUUUUGGGAACUCACGAGCAACUUUCUAGUGGGUCAUCCAUCCUGAGAGUGCUCUGACCUCCUUCUCGCUUAACUUCAGAGUUCCUAUGGAAACCGAAGCUAGUGAGCUCCCAAAAAGCCUCGUGCUAGGUAGAGAUGAGAAUAUACAUUUAAAGAUCACUCCCCUGGGCGAUGUGGGAUGUUACAAUCGACCCCCUUAGGGGCCUGACGUCCUCGUUGACACACUUCCGGCCAGAGAUUGGCUCUGAAACCAUUUGUCACAUCCCGGCCCGGGUCCACCACUUCACGGACCCGUUCCACCACCGUAGCAUGAUAUUGUCCGCUUUGGGCUUACCAUUCCCUCACGAUUUUGUUUUUGGAAACUCACGAGCAACUUCCCAGUGGGUCACCCAUCCUGGGAGUGCUCUAGCCUCCUUCUCGCUUAAUUUCAGAGUUCAUACGGAACUCGAAGCCAGUGAGCUCCCAAAAGGUCUCAUGCUAGGUAGGGAUGAGAAUAUACAUUUAAGAAUCACUCUCCUGGGCGAAGUGGGAUAUUACAAAUUAGUCUUCUAUCACAAAAAAAAAAUGAUGGUCAAUAAUGUAAUUUCACAAGUCCAAAUUUUACUUUUUUUUAUUGAAGUUUCACCUACGAAUGAUGUUAAAAUACCUCUAAUAUUUAUAUAAAAAAAACCAAAAAAAAAAAAACCUCCCACUCCUCCACGUUCUCUCUCUCUCUUCCUCUUUCUCCUUCUCAUUUUCUAAAAAAAAAUGUGUUCAAAUACACAAAAUGUGUAGGCAAAUACUAGCCAUCUAUAACUACAACUUAAUUUAUAAAUUUAACUUAAAAAAUUUAGUUUUCUUAAAAUUACAUUUUUUUUUUGUUGUUUUAAUAUUUCAUUAAAACAAACAAAAAAAUCACAACGGAAACGAAACAAGCCCCCAAAAACAGAGAUUAGGCCCAAACAGAAACAAAGCUCAAAGAAGAAGAAAACCCUAGCAGCAGAGAAACUGUUGAAGUCGUCGUCCCCAUCGCCGCACUGCUGAGCCAAACGGAUGAACGGCCGCAGGGAUCCAGAAGAAGAUAAGGUCAAGCAAAAAACCUCCCAACACAGAACCUCCAACAGAUGCACGAGAUAAACCAAAAGACAGCCCAAAAAGUGCAGGACACGAAUGCUCCAUCAUCCUCCACGAACCCAACAUCGCCGCACCGGUGAGCCAAACAGAAUCAUAUCUUUGGGUACAAUUUUUCCAGCCAAUCGUUUAACUCCCAACUCCAAAAGCUGACGCUCAAUCGGCCAUUUCAGCUUUUACGUUGCAUUAGGCGAGUCGGUAGCUGACCAUCUGCUGUGGAUAUUGUCCCUGUCAGAUGUCAAUGGCUGCUCCUUCCUCUUCCUCAUUGAAAUACAACGUCUUCCUGAAUUUCAGAGGCGUAGACACUCGCAAGAUCUUCGUCGGCCAUCUCUACAGAGCUCUGGAUCAGAAAUUAAUCACCUUCAUCGACGCCGAAGAGAUCAGAAAAGGCGACGAUCUUUUGCAGCUCCUCUCAGCUAUCGAAGAGUCGAGGAUUUCGAUCGUGGUUUUCUCCCAGAACUACGCUUCUUCGACGUGGUGCUUGAAAGAACUGGUCAAAAUCCUGGCGUGCAUGGACGCAAAGAAGCAGAUAGUGGUGCCGAUUUUCUACGAAGUUGAUCCAUCUGAAGUUCGUAAGCAAAAGAAAAUUUUUGCAGAAGCUUUUGCUCAACACGAACGCGAAUCGAACGCCGACAUGGAAGAGGUGGAGAGCUGGAGGUCCGCGGUAACCAGAGCUGCCAAUUUAUCCGGCUGGGAUUCGCGAAAAUACGAGUAAUUACUGUUCGAUUAUAUUCUUAAUUACUUAUGAAUUGAGAUUUUUAUAGCAUUUAGUUUAAUUCGGUGCUGUUUUUCGUAUUACACAGGGAUGAUGCCAAGCUUAUUGAGGAAAUUGUGGAUGACAUAUAUAAGAGAUAUAUCCAAGUCUCGCCAAGCAAAGAUAAUGGCUUGGUUGGAAUGGAUUACCACAUAGAUGCAGUGAAUUCACUAUUACGUCCUGGGGUGGAUGAUGUUUUCACUGUUGGAAUAUGGGGUAUGGGAGGUAUAGGCAAAACCACCAUCGCUCGCGCUGUUUAUGAUGGAAUCGCAUGUCAAUUUGAAGCUUGCUGCUUUCUCGAAAAUGUCAAGGAAGGCUUCUCGAAGAAUGGUGCAGUACAUAUGCAAGAAAUGCUUCUUUCUAGAAUCUUGAAGCAGGAAAAGGUGCAGAGUUUAGGCACGUUGGAAAGGCUACAAAGGCUACAAAGGAAAAAAGUUUUCAUUGUUCUUGAUGACGUUGAUGAAUUAUCCCAAAUCGAAGCCUUACUUGGAAAGCAGCAUUCAUUUGGUGGUGGAAGUCGGGUCAUUAUAACAACUAGAGAUAAACAAUUAUUAAGUGGAGCUGGUGCUGUAUAUAAGCCCGAGAACUUAAGUGAGCCAGAAGCUCUUAAACUCUUCUACCAGUAUGCCUUCAGAACAAUCCAACCCACCCGAAAUUAUGGUCAGCUCUCAAGGCGUGCCAUACAAUAUGCCCAAGGUCUGCCUUUAGCACUCAAAGUGUUGGGAGCUUUUCUUGAUAACAAAACUGUGCCCGAGUGGGAAGAUGAGUUGGAAAAAAUAAGGAAAAUCCCGCAAAAGGGAAUUCAUAAUGUGCUUAAAACGAGCUUUGAUGGACUAGAUGAGUCAGACAAGGACAUCUUUCUAGAUAUUGCAUGUUUCUUGAAAGGAAUGGAUAUAGACAGUGCAAAAAAAAGUCUGGACAGUUGUGGCUUAUAUCCCCAUCGUGGAAUAAGAGUUCUAAUCGACCGAGCUCUCAUAUCUGUGUCAAAGUGGGGGGAACUGGUGAUGCAUGAUUUACUAGAGGAAAUGGGUCGGGAAAUCGUUCGCCAAGAAUGUAUCAAAGAGCCUGGGAGAAGAAGUAGGUUGUGGAGUUAUGAAGAUGUUCGUCAUGUGCUGACUCAAAAAACAGUGAGAUAUCUUUCUCUUAUGCAAUGUUUCGUAGAAAGCUUCAGCUUUCGACGAAAAUCUAUUUUAUAGCAAACAUGCAUUGUUUAUAAUAUUCAAUAAGGUUCUUUGUGUUUUCCUUCACUUUAAUUUACAUUGUUGGUUUAUCCAGGCUACAGAAGCAAUUGAAGGCAUAAUCCUGGAUUCAGCAAUCUUUAAAGAGAGAUGCUCAAAUACUGAAGCAUUUGUUAGUAUGACAAAACUAAGACUGCUCAUGAUACGUGAUGGUUACUUUGACGAAUAUGGGUUUGUAUCCGAGGAUUCAUUUGACAGUCAAACUUCAACUGAAGCAGAAGAUGAGCUUGCAUUCGGGGAUUCAUUUGACAAUCGAGCUCCACAUGAUUGCUUCAUAAAACACUGGAUUGCGGACUUAAAGUUCCAAAGUUCUCAGUUGAGGUGUCUCAUCUGGCGUGGUUGCCCCCUCAAGUCUUGGCCAUCCAACUUCCAGUUCAAGAAUCUUGUAAACCUUGACAUGAGCAAUAGUCGCAUCGAACAACUUUGGACAGGAGCUGAGGUACGAUUUUUCAUUUACGUAAAUAUAUUUAUUUUCAAUGUUUAGGUUCUGAGAUGUGUUGUGCAUGUUUUCCUGUACUUUUUAACAGCCUCUGGAAAAGUUGAAAUUCAUCAAUUUAAGUUAUUGUGAAAGCCUUAAGAAAACCCCCGACUUCACAAAGGCUACAAGUCUUAAGGAACUAAAUCUCAAAGGUUGUACAGAGUUAUAUGAGGUUGACCCAUCCAUUUCAGCUCUGAAAAACCUUGCUAUAUUGAAUCUAGGAGACUGUGAAAAUCUUAAGAGCCUUCCGGGCAUCAUUCGUAUGGGAUCUCUUCAAACCCUUGAUCUUUCUGGUUGCUCAAACCUUGAGAAGUUUCCUGAGAUUUCGGAAGUUAUGGAGGAGCUGUCAGAGCUUUAUUUAGUUGGGACUGCAAUUAAAGAACUGCCUUCUUCAAUUAAUAAACUCACAGGCCUCACUGUUUUGGACCUAUCUCAGUGUCGAGAACUCAAGAGCCUGCCGAGCAGCAUUCAUAUGGGAUCUCUUCAAACCCUUAAACUUUCUGGUUGCUCAAACAUUGAGAAGUUUCCAGAUAUUUCAGAUGUUAUGGGGAAUCUAUCAAAGUUAUAUUUAGAUAGCACUGCCAUUAAAGAACUGCCUUCGUCAAUUAAUAAACUCACGGGCCUUACUUUUUUGGACCUAAGAGGCUGUGAAAAUCUUAAGAGCCUUCCGGGCAUCAAUCAUAUGGGAUCUCUUCAAACCCUUAAUCUUUCUGGUUGCUCAAACCUUGAGAAGUUUCCUGAGAUUUCGGAAGUUAUGGAGGAGCUGUCAGAGCUUUAUUUAGUUGGGACUGCAAUUGAAGAACUGCCUUCUUCAAUUAAUAAACUCACGGGCCUUACUCUCUUGGACCUAAGACGCUGUGAAGAACUGAAGAGCCUGCCGAGCAGCAUUCAUAUGGGAUCUCUUCAAACUCUUAAUCUUUCAGGUUGCUCAAUGCUUGAGAAGUUUCCAGAUAUUUCAGAUGUUAUGAAGAAACUAUCAAGGUUAUAUUUAGACAAGACUGCAAUUAAAGAACUGCCUUCGUCAAUUAAUAAACUCACAGGCCUCACUGUUUUGGACCUAUCUCGGUGUCGAGAACUCAAGAGCCUGCCGAGCAGCAUUCAUAUGGGAUCUCUUCAAACCCUUAAUCUUUCUGGUUGCUCAAACCUGGAGCAGUUUCCAGAUAUUUCAGGUGUUAUGGAGAAGCUAUCAGAGCUUUAUUUAAACGAGACUGCAAUUAAAGAACUGCCUUCGUCAAUUAAUAAACUCACAGGCCUCACUGUUUUGGACCUAUCUCGGUGUCGAGAACUCAAGAGCCUGCCGAGCAGCAUUCAUAUGGGAUCUCUUCAAACCCUUAAUCUUUCUGGUUGCUCAAACCUGGAGCAGUUUCCAGAUAUUUCGGGUGUUAUGGAGAAGCUAUCAGAGCUUUAUUUAGACGAGACUGCAAUUAAAGAACUGCCUUCGUCAAUUAAUAAACUCACGAGCCUUACUAUUUUGGUCCUAAGAGGCUGUCGAGAACUCAAGAGCAUGCCAAGCAGCAUUCAUAUGGGAUCUCUUCAAACCCUUAAUCUUUCUGGUUGCUCAAACCUGGAGCAGUUUCCAGAUAUUUCAGGUGUUAUGGAGAAGCUAUCAGAGCUUUAUUUAGACGAGACUGCAAUUAAAGAACUGCCUUCGUCAAUUAAUAAACUCACAGGCCUCACUGUUUUGGACCUAUCUCGGUGUCGAGAACUCAAGAGCCUGCCGAGCAGCAUUCAUAUGGGAUCUCUUCAAACCCUUAAACUUUUUGGUUGCUCAAACUUUGAGAAGUUUCCAGAUAUUUCAGAUGUUAUGGGGAAGCUAUCAAAGCUUUAUUUAGGUGGGACUGCCAUUAAAGAACUGCAUUCGUCAAUUAAUAAACUCACGGGCCUUACUGUUUUGAACCUAAGAGGCUGUCGAGAACUCAAGAGCCUGCCGAGCAGCAUUCAUGUAGGAUCUCUUCAAACCAUUAUUCUUUCGGGCUGCUCAAUGCUUGAGAAGUUUCCAGAUAUUUCAGAUGUUAUGGAGAAGCUAUCAGAGCUUCAUUUAGAUGGGACUGCUAUUAAAGAACUGCAUUCAUCAAUUAAUAAACUCACGGGCCUUACUAUUUUGAACCUAAGAGGCUGUCAAGAACUCAAGAGCCUGCAGAGCAGUAUUCAUAUCGGAUCUCUUCAAACCCUUAAUCUUUCUGGUUGCUCAAACCUUGAGAAGUUUCCAGAGAUUUCAGAUGCUAUGGAGAAUCUAUCAGAGUUAUAUUUAGAUGGGACUGCCAUUAAAGAACUGCCUUCAUCAAUUAAUAAACUCACGGGCCUUACUGAUUUGAACCUAUCUUGGUGUCAAGAACUCAAGAGCCUGCCGAGCAGCAUUCAUAUGGGAUCUCUUCAAACCCUUAUUCUUUCGGGUUGCUCAAUGCUUGAGAAGUUUCCAGAUAUUUCAGAUGUUAUGGAGAAUCUAUCAGAGUUAUAUUUAGAUGGGACUGCCAUUAAAGAACUGCCUUCGUCAAUUACUAAACUCACGGGCCUUACUGUUUUGAACCUAUCUGGGUGUCAAGAACUCAAGAGCCUGCCGAGUAGCAUUCAUAUGGGAUCUCUUCGAACCCUUAUUCUUUCGGGUUGCUCAAUGCUUGAGAAGUUUCCAGAUAUUUCAGAUGUUGUGGAGAAGCUAUCAAGGUUAUAUUUAGAUGGGACUGCCAUUCAAGAACUGCCUUCGUCAAUUAAUAAACUCACGGGCCUUACUGUUUUGGACCUAUCUGGGUGUCAAGAACUCAAGAGCCUGCCGAGCAGCAUUCAUAUGGGAUCUCUUCAAACCCUUAAUCUUUCUGGUUGCUCAAAACUUUGAGAAGUUUCCAGACAUUUCAGAUGUUAUGGAGAAGCUAUCAAAGUUAUAUUUAGAUGGGACUGCAAUUAAAGAACUGCCUUCUUCAAUUAGAAAUCUUCCAGGUCUUGUUACGUUGAACGUAAGAGAUUUUAGAAAACUCAAGUCUCCCAAGCAGCAUUUGUGAUCUCAAGGCCCUUCACUAUCUUAGUCUUUCUGGUUGCCCAAAGUUUGAGGUGUUGGAAUUAUUGGGUAUUGCUCAUUUAUCAUUAUUGAGUACAUUAGAACUCUGCAGAAACAAUUUUGAGAGCUUGCCUGCGGAAAUGAAUUGGCUUCAUUGGUUAACAAGUCUCAAAUUGGAAGGUUGCAAGGGACUGAAAUCAAUACCAGAGAUUUCAUCAACUAUAAGGUUCAUAGAUGCCCAUGAUUGCACGGCUUUGGUAUCUGUUUCAAGACCAAGCAAGUUUUUUCCGAAGAAUCUUUACUUGACAUUUUCAAACUGCUUCCAGCUGGUGCAAAAUCUAUUUGAAGAUGUUGUGGAAGCUCAUCAGGUCUCUCUCUCUCUCUCUCUACGUGCAAAAGUAUGAAACAUAUCUAAUGCAAGUCCAGUUUACCUUUGUUUUCAUUCUGCAGGGUAAUCCGCAACCUCUUUCCUUGUUUAUGUAUCUUCCUGGAAGUAAACUUUCAGAUUGGUUCAGCCAUCAGUGUAGCAGAUCUUCCGUAACUGUGCAUCUACCACCAGUCUUGGAUCAUAAGAUUUUAGGAUUCGCUGUGUGCGGUGUUACUAAGUUCAAGUAUGCACAUUAUGCAUCUGAUCUAUCUGCUCUGUGUUUUUGUACCUUCAAAGGAGAGCAUGCAUGGCGAGCGCGGUUUCUGCUUUGAUUUGCUUGAUUUGAGCAUCACAAGAGGCAGGUUACUUGAGUCAGAUUAUGUGAUUCUGGGGCACCAGUUCAGCAGCAUCGCGUCAGAAGGAGUGGAGUUCGUCUCUUUUAUGCCAACUGUGAGGAGGUGCAUAAUCUCUUUUAUGCCAAUUGUGAGAGGAAGCUAAUUGUAAGCCCGUGUGGUCCCUUUUAUCCCAAAUUUGAGGUGGUGCGUUAUUGAAGCAUGAUACAGCCGGAUCAAUUCCACUUUCAAGAACAACACUAUCAUCAUGAGAAUUCUGAAGCCGAACUUCGUGCUUUUGGCAAAUCAAUGGUAAGAGUUGCACAUUCUGAGAGGAACCGUGAAGGGUGUUGCUAUAACGAGGGUGAACAAAAUGGAAGUGAUACCUCUGACGCAGAGGAUUUGUAUUCUAAAAGAUUGGUACUUCCUGAUGGGGCAAAGGAAAACUGAAGAGAACAAUCCCUCUGUGUUGGAUUUGAUGGCUCAGUCCUGUUGGGUCUCAACACUUUCUACGCGGACCUAAAACCAAACUGUUGUGGCUCUUUAGUUGGCAUAUGCGGAUCCCAUGCUAGGUCUCUUUAGUGCUCGUAUUUAAAGCCUCGCAUUGUGUCGAAUUUGGAUGAGACGGUGGGAAAUGUGAAUACAAGCAGCUGCACUAGUGUAAAGGAAAGAGAAGAGCCGACACCCAAUGGAAGAGAGAAGUAAAAUGGGGAGCUGCUGCGUUUAAGGUUCUGUAAGAGUGAAACCAAUUAGCGAUUGUUGUAGUUGUAGAGAAACAAAUAUUUUGUUUGUAAUUCGUUUUUUCCCUCUUCUAUUUGUGAGUGUAUCUGGGUGUAUUUUGGGUUUGAGUUUGAGAGUACUCUUUGUAAUCUCCUUUUCCUUUUGUUUAUUAGUGAAACUUCCUUGCUGUCCCCGAACUGGAUGUAGGUUUACGCCGAACCAGUAUAAAUCUUUGUGUCAUUUUAAUUGUUUGUUUUGUCAUAUUUUUCCGUAUUAGUUUAUUGGUUUCAAGUUAGUGUUUCCCGCACAACACAUUGAACCCCGAGCUUGUUGUAUUUGGAAGUGCCAAUUCAGAUAAUGUGAGUCGUCCAAUUUGACAUUGACAGAGGUUGAGAUGAGCUUGUUGUAAUGUUAAUUCAAAAUUAGAACAAGAGAAAUGGCUCGAUGUGCUGAAAUUGAAAAAUUCAAGGGGUGUGAUAUCCACACAUCCUAUUUUACUUCUCACACAUUCUUUUAAUUUUCGACUGUCGGAUCGGAUGAAUUGAAGAAGAUCAACGGACAGAAAUUAUCAAGGGGUGUGCGAGAAGUAAAAUGAAGUGUGCUAUCAUGAAAACAAGAUUAAUUAGAAUAAUUAAGUUUUUAAUUGCUCAAUUCUGUUCCAUACGAACUUAGAAUAUCACUUUGUAGAGCUGUAAUAACUUUGCAGCCACAAGACAUAAAUACCAAGUACCCUUAAUUGCUCUUCCGGACGUUUCUGGUUCGUGUUGACAUAAACAAUAGAUUUUUUAGUGUGCUUGACAUACGGCUCAGUACACCAAAUUUAAUAAUAAUUGGUUGGAAACUUAAAAAAAAAAAUUAUAAUGAAUUGUAUCAUUAAUUCUUGGUGUACCAAAUAAUUUGCCGGCCGCACGAAAAAACUUCUCGACAUGAAUACAACCCAAAGGCGUCACUAUUAGCUACUACUAAGAAUACAAAGUUUACAUGAAAGAAAAAGGUUAAACUAUCAUUUCACGUUCAACUUAAAUAAUUACACACGAGUUAUCUAGUUACACAAUUGUGUAAGCGUGCUAAAAUGUACGUCACUUUCAAAUUAGGUGGGUUGGAUGGGAACACAAACUCUUAUUAACCACGAUAAAUGGGUCAGCACGAUUAUGCCCAACCCAAACAAACUUAUUUUUUGUCCUUUUCAAGUCGGAUUAUCGAAUCUGUCUAAAAUUGUUACCUCUACUCUUUCUUGGCACACCCAAAUUCAAACAAAAACAAUGAAAGGUACAUCCGAACAAAAAUACAAUAAAAGGUACAUCAUACAACUCUCAUAUUUUUAAUAGAAAACGCGCAUUAUCCUCGUCAUACAUAUGAAAGAUUUCAGAGUAGUACCAUUAAUAAUGUGACAGUAGUUUAGAAGCCAAACGAUGCUAUUAGACAUGACACAUAUGUGAGAAGCUGACACUUACCUCGAGGAUAUUUCCAAUCACUCUAACUCAUUUUUCAUAUGAAUAGCGAGAUCGGAAUAUAUUUCCGAUUUACAAAGAAGUUAUUGGGUUGGGUAUGCAGAUGAAGAUUCAACAUAGUUGAACGAUAUCGCGUAGUGUAGAAUAUCAUUUUUUUGUUUGUUUGGUUACACUAGGUGUAUUUGCCUUUUUAUUUCAAUAAAAUUUCACCUCGCACAAUCGAGGGUUCUUUAACAAAAAGGAAAAGUAUAGAUGGUAUAGAAUAUCAUUUAUACUAAAAAAAACAUAUUCAUACAAAUUAUACUCAUGAGAUUUGCAGUUGGCGCUUUACUACAGUGACGAAAAAUAAUAAUGCAUAUACACUUUGAUGCCAAUUCGAUCCUUAUGGAUUUGUUGUGAAUUCAAUCCUUACAGAUUUUCCUCUUCUUUAAUAACUAAUUACCUAAACCACCAACGUUGCUCUACCGUAAAAAUUAAUAAUAAAUAAAAGGAAAGGGUCAUUUAAGAUUUGCUGAGUUUCAAAACCAGAUUAGUGUACUUUACGUAAUGAUCUAAUUUGCAUUGGCUCAUUGACUUCGUGUCGGUCAGACCAUUUUCCGGUGAUCCAAUUGUAGUUCAGUUGAGUUAGCAGCUCAAUCAUAAGCGAAUCGUCGAGGCUUUCGAUCGUGGUUUUCUCCCAGAACUACGCUUAUUCGACGGGGUGCUUGAAAGAACUGGUCAAAAUCCUGGCGUGCAUGGACGCAAAGAAGCAGACAGUGGUGCCGAUUUUCUACCAAGUUGAUCCAUCUGAAGUUCGUAAGCUCAAGAUAAGUUUUGCAGAAGCUUUUUCCUCAAAACGAACGCGAAUCGAAUGCCGAAAUGAAAGAGGUGGAGAGCUGGAGGUCCGCGCUAACCAGAGCCGCCAAUUUAUCCGCUGGGAUUCGCGAAAAUACGAGUAAUUUGGAUCAAUACCGCCAUGAGCAGCUUAUGCUGCUGAAUUCAAAUCACGAUGGCUUCACCCAUACAAACUAAACUCAUGAAAUGGGAUUUUCUUUUGACGGAAAAAAAAAAAAUAAUAAUAAUAAUGUUUGCGGGCCGUGGGCCUAUUUGGACUCAUUCUGAUGGGCCUUUUAAAAAUUUAAAACCGGGCUAGUCCAAUUCGUAUUUGAAUUUUCCAAUACGUUGAAGAAUUAUUUUAGGAUAGUGUUAUCCAGAUACUUAUCUUUUUCUUUCACACAUUUUUUUAUUUAUUUUUGGCAGUCGAAUCAAAUAAUUUGAAGAAGAUCAAAUGAAAAAAUUAAUAAGAAUAUGUGAGAGGGAAAAAAAUAUGUGUGAAUAGAUCUACCCUUAUUUUAUUACUAGCCUUUUUCUUUUGCAUUUGGUUUUUUUUUUGGAUACUUUAUUGUUUUUUUUUUAAAUUGGCUUAAUUUUAUAUUUAGAAUAAAUUCAACAUAAAAAGUCAUUAACUUCUCAGUAAGAAGCGGUUAUUUCUUUUCAAUUUUUUAAUUACUACACUUUUAUUUAAAAUUUACUAGAAUAUAGCCAUGCACAAAGGGUGUGUGAAUAUUUUUUUUGUUUUUAAAAUUAAAGGAGAGCAUAAGAGAGCAAAAGAGUGAGAGAGAAUGUGAGAGUGGGAAGGGAGGAUUAUUAUUAUUUUUUUUAAAUUAAAGGCGCCGGCAUCCCACGUGUCGCGAGUACACCAGUAAUCGUCUUCCUCGCGAAGGUCAUAAUUUUGCUUAUUUUCAUCCUAACUUCCAAGGCUAAUUUCUAACUCAAUACUUAAACCAAAUUCAAUGAUUCAAAAGCCAACUAGAAACUAGGAAUGUGGGGAAAAGGUUUAUACUACUUCGGGGUCCAAUCGUGGCCUGAGUUGAACGGGGAAACGACCUAAAAGUGGCCCGAUGGUCACGGCCAAACUUUCCAGAAUUUUGGAAAUUUCUUCCCAACUUUCAUAGCUAGUUUCUAAUUCAAUUCUUAACCAAACUUGAUGAUUGAAAAUCCAUAAUGAAGUUAGAAAUCUAGAGAAGAGAGUCAUACCCUUAGGAGGCCCAACGAAGAUCAUAAUUGGCCGGCAAAUUGGUCUGAAAAUGGUCAAAUGGCCACGAGUCUUGUUUUCUAGAAAUCUGGGAAAUUUUUCCUAGGUUGCUUCCAAAUUACGGUGGUGCUAUGGCGAAGCUCACCAAAGAGAGUUGGAGAUGAGAAAGUUAUGGUGGUGCUAUGGCGAAGCUCGCCAAAGAAGGCAGUAGGUGGUGACGUUUUUUGUUGAACUGGCAGAGAGAGAGAGUUGACAGAGAUGAGAGAGAAGACACGAGAAAGUUCUCGAGGGAGAGAUCACAAAGGGGAAAAGAAAAGGGCACCAGAAAUAAGGUGCCACGUGUCAGUCAUGUGGUGUCCAAAGUGGAGAAAUAUCUCCAUUUGUGAACUUACCAAAAUACCCUUACAUUUGAAUUCCACAAUAUCCCCGUUGUUGCUCCAAAUUCAAAUCCGCUUAUGCCCACGCGUUCGUAUCGUCGAGUACUACCCAAUUACGCUAAAAAAAAAUCAUACGUUUCUCUAGACGAUGAUUAACUGAAAUCAAAGUCCUGGCCUCUAGGGGCAUUUUCUUCGAUUCCCUCGAUUAAAAUAAAUAAAAACAUAAUUUCAAGGAUGGGUUGUCACACCUAUCUUUCUGGUUGCUCAAUGCUUGAGAAGUUUCCAAAUUGUUCAGAAGUUAUGGAGAAGGUAUCAGGGCUUUAUUUAGAUAGGAAUGCAAUUAAAGAAUUGCCUUCGUCAAUUAAUAUACUCAUAGGCCUUACUGUUUUGGAUCUAAGAGGCUGUCGAGAACUCAAGAUCCUGUCGAGCAGCAUUCAUAUGAGAUCUUUUCAAACCCUUAAUAUUUUUGGUUGCUCAAUGCUUGAGAAGUUUCCAGAUAUUUCAGAUGUUAUAGAGAAGCUAUCAGAGCUUCAUUUAUAUAAGAUUGCAAUUAAAGAACUGCCUUCGUCAAUUAAUAAACUCACAUGCCUUACUAUAUUGGACCUAAGAGGCUGUUGAGAACUCAAGAGCCUACCGAGUAACAUUCAUAUGGGAUUUCUUCAAACCCUUAAUCUUUCUGGUUGCUCAAACCUUGAGAAGUUUCCUGAUAUUUUAGAUGUUACAGAGAAGCUAUCAAAUCUUUAUUUAGUUGGGACUGCAAUUAAAGAACUGCCUUCGUCAAUUAAUAUACUCACGGGCGUUACUGUUUUGGAUCUAAGAGGCCGUCGAGAACUCAAGAGCCUACUGAGCAGUAUUUAUAUGAUCUCUUCAAACCCUUAAUCUUUCUGGUUGCUCAAUGCUUGAGAAGUUUCCAAAUAUUUCAAAUGUUAUGGAGAAGCUAUCAGAGCUUGAUUCAGAUGAGACUGCAAUUAAAGAACUGCAUUUGUCAAUUAAUAAACUCACAGGCCUUACUAUUUUGGACCUAAGAGGCUGUUGAGAACUCAAGAGCCUGCCGAGCAACAUUCAUAUGGGAUAUCUUCAAACGCUUAAUCUUUCUGGUUGCUCAAACCUUGAGAAGUUUCCAGAUAUUUCAGAUCUUAUGGAGAAGCUAUCAGAGCUUUAUUUAGUUGGGCCUGCAAUUGAAGAACUACCUUCGUCAAUUAGAAAUCUUUAGGGGCUUGUUACGUUGAACUAAGCGAUUGCAAAAGCCUCAAGAUACAUAAUCUCAUUUUGUUUAUUAGUGGAACUUCCUCGAUGUCCUCGAACUGGAUGUAGGCUUACACCGAACCAGUAUAAAUCUUUUGUGUCAGUUUGAAUUGUUUGUUUUGUCAUAUUUUUUCCGUUUUAGUUUAUUGGUUUCAAAUUAGCGCUUCCGCACAACACUCUGAACCCCAGUGAAGGUGGAGAGGAGCUUGUUGUAUUUGGAAGUUCCAAUUUAGAUAAUUUGAGUCAUCCAAUCUAACAUUGACAAAGGUGGAGAGGAGCUUGUUGUAAUGUUAAUUCAACAUUAGAACAAGAGAAAUAGCUCGAUGUGCUGAAAUUGAAGAAUUCAGUUGCAAGCAACACAUUUAUGUUGCCCAUCAGAACAAGAUUAAGUAGAAUAGUUAAGUUUUUAGUUGCCCAAUCCAUAUGAAUUUAGAAUAUGGAGGACGUGUUUCUGCAUUGUUUUCAAAUGUCCUAAGCACUUUGUAGAGCUGUAGUAACUUUGCAGCCACAAGACACCAAUACCAAGUACCCUUAAUCACUCUUCCAGAUGUCUCAGAUACUCUUCGUGUUGACAUAAACGAGAUAUUUUUCAGUAUGCUUGGCAUACGGCUUGGUACACCGAGUUUAAAAAUAUAAUUGGUUAGAAGCUUGAAAAAAAAAAUUAUAACGAAUUGUAUCAUUAAUUCUUGGUAUACUUGAGUAGUGUGCCGGCCACACGAAAAAACUUCUUGACAUGAACACAACCCUUAGUUACUCAUAAGAAUACAAAGUUUACAUGAAAGAAAAAAAAUCAAACUUAUCAUUUCACAUUGAACUUAAAUGACUUGCACACGAGUUACCUAAUUACGCGAUUGUGUAAGCAUGCUAAAUAGUACAUCACUUUCGCAUUAGGUGGGUUGGAUGGAAACACAAACUUUAAUUAACCAUGUUAAAUGGGUCAACACGAUUAUGCCCAACUAAAACAAAAAUUUAUUUUUUGUCCUUUUCAAGUCGGAUCAUCGAAUCUAUGGAAAAUUGCUACCUCUACUCUUUCUUAGCACUUUCUACCCAAAUUCAAAUAUAAACAAUGAAAGCUACAUCCGAACAAAAAUACAAUAACAGGUACAUCAUCCAAUAACUUUCAUAUUUUUAAUAGAAAAUAUGACGAAUUGUAAUCAUAAUUUUUGGUGUACCGAGUUAGUGUGCCGGCCACACAAAAAAACUUCUUGACAUGAACACAAUCAAAAGGCGUUGACUUAAAUGACUUGCACAUGAGUUCUCUAGUUACGCAAUUGUGUAAGCAUGCUGAAGGGUACGUCACUUUCGAAUUAGGUGGGUCGGAUGGAAACACAAACUCUUAUUAACCAUGUUAAAUGGGUCAACACGAUUACGCCCAACUCAAACAAAUUUAUUUUUUGUCUUUUUCAAGUUGGAUUAUCGAAUCUGUCUAAAAUUGUUACCUCCACUCUUUCUUGGCACUUUCUACCUAAAUUCGAGCAAAAACAAUGAAGGAUACAUCCGAACAAAAAUACAAUAAAAGGUAUAUCAUCCAACAACUUUCAUAUUUUUAAUAGGAAAAACGCUCAUGUAAGUGGCAUUUUACUACAAUAGUAUAGUUGAGUGUUAUCCUUGUACCACGGUGUGAGUUCAAACAUUGUUGGCUUCCUAGGUCCAUCUCCAAUGAAGAGGGCUAGAUGUCCAAAAGCUAAAAAAUAGUCUGCUUUGUUCAAAAAUCAAUCUCGAAACUAAUGGUUGGACUAUAAUCUGUGGAGCUCAUCAAACCAUUUUUCUGGCCGAAGGAGUUGAGUUAAAUUAAUUGAUUCAAAUUCAACUGAAAACUUAAAACUAAUAAAUUAUUAAACUAACUAUGUUUAGCCUCUUUCAAUUAGAAAUGGUAUAUGAAUAUGACCUGAUAUUUUUUAUUUAAAAAUAAUAUUUUAUACAGCUAUAAAUCUAAAUGGGGCUAUGAUUAGCGCGAAAAGAAAAAAAAAGCACACACAUUAUUCUCGUCAUCGACUCAUUGACUUUGUUAGGCUACAUUUUUAUCCUGCAAUGGGUUUUUUUUUUUUUUUGGAGGGUUGGUGUGGAAGGAUGGAGUGCACUGGGUGAGAAGCCCUAUUAUUGUAGUGUCGAUGCCACCACUAUAAAUCCUGCACUGGAUUUAUUUUUUAAUUAAAAAAAAAAUUUUUAGUCGUUAAAUAAUUACGAUGUGUAUUUUUAUUGAGUAAACAGGUUUUGUAGCUAAUAGCAUAUGUAUCAAAGAUUUCAUAGUAGGAUCGUUACCAUCGAAACAUAAACUCUUAUUAACUAUGUUAAAUGGCUUAUGCCCAAAUUAAACAAAUUUAUUUUUUGUCCUUUUAAAGUCGCAUUGUCCUGUCUAAAAUUGUGGACCCUACUCUUUCUUGCACUUUCUUUCUACCUCAAUCGAAGAAAUACAAUGGAAAGUAUCAUCGAACAACUUUCAUAUUUUUAAUAGAAAAACGCGCAUUAUCAUCGUCACUGUCUCAUUAACUUUCUUUGGCUACAUUUUUUUCCUCCGCCUGAGAGAAAGCAUGUUUUGAUCGAGGCCACUCAUCUCCCUAUCGAUCGGACCAUAUUUUCCGGUCAACAAUUGUUUCAGUUCGGGGUACAGUUUUCCAGUAAUCGUUGAACUCCUAGCUCCAACAAUCGAGUAUUGCAGUUCUUACAUAAAUGGCUGUUUCUUCUUCUUCUUCAGUAUCUGACGUCCGUCGUUGGAAAUAUGAUGUCUUCGUCAGUUUCGGACACCAAGACACCGGCAGGGAUUUUGUCAGCCAUCUGAUCAGAGCUUUCAAUCAGAAAUCAAUCAGUACACCCGUGGAUGCUGAAGGUAUUUGCAGAGACGACUGCCCUUCGGAGGAGCUCCCAGACGCCGUCCAACAUUCGAGGCUUUUUAUUGUAGUUUUUUCUAAAGGAUACGCUGAUUCCAGAUGUCGCCUCGAAGAACUGGUCCAAAUGCUGAACUGCGUGGAUAAAAAUAACCAGAAGUUGUUGCCCGUUUUCUAUAGAGUAGAUCCGUCUGAUGUUCGUAGAGCCACCGGAGCUUUUGCGGAAGCUUUUCAGAAAUACGAGUGCAAUCGCGUCGACGAGGAAGAGGUGCCGAGAUGGAGAUCCGCUCUAACUAGUGCCAGCAAUCCUAUGGUAAAUUUUCACAUCCCAUUUAUAUAUACACAUUUAUGAUCAUUUUUAUAAAAAAUCAACCUCUAAAAAAAAAAGAUUAAUGGGGUUGAAGGUACGGGGAGAACUUCAUAGUGGUCACUUUAUAAUUUGCUGGAAGAACAUGAAUGGGGUCUAAUUAAUCUAAUUUGUAGCAAAAACGAUUAUUAAUGUGUAAACCACGAGCUGGUGAGGAGCCUGACUUGUGGCCAACGGGAGGCUGAAAUGCCUCUGUGAGUCUUCCGGCCAACGGAAGAUGUGGAUAACCGUGGCUUGCCACCUGUUGUCCCCCCAUUUUAAAAAGAAAAAAUAAAAAUAAAAAGGAUCAUGAAUGAUGUAAUAUUACAACAUAUAGCCAGUGAAGUUACCUAAGAGAUCCCUCAAUAGAGAGAGACCGUAUAUACUACUUGAGGAAAUAAUGCAGUACUGUUUUUCAAAUUUCACAUCCACAGGAAUGAAGCCGACGUGAUCGAGGAAAUCGUACAAAGUGUUUUUGAUAAAUUGAUCUGCUUCUCAUCGUAUGGCAGUCGUCGGAAAUAUGAUGUAUUUCUCAACUUUAGAGGUACAGACACUCGCAAGAGUUUUGUCGUCCAUCUCUACAAAGCUCUGUAUCUAAAAGUAAUCAACACCUUCAUGGAUGGUGAAGAGUUAGAAAAGGCAACAGCAUUUCGGAUCUCCUGAAUUCUAUCAAAGAGUCGCGAGUUUCGAUUGUUGUAUUUUCUGAAGACUACGCUUCUUCCAAAUGGUGCUUAAAAGAACUCGUUCAGAUCCUCGAAUGCAAGGAUAAACAAAAUCAGAUAGUGGUGCCCGUUUUCUACCGAGUUGAUCGAUCUAAAGUUUGUAAACCGGAAGCUUUUACUAAACACGAUAGCGAUCCUAGGGUGGAGAAGGAAGAGUUGCAGAUCUGGAUGUCCGCUCUAACUAAAGCCACCAAGUUACCUCCACAUCGCUGGGAUCAACAAAAUUACGAGUAAUUUUGCUUAAUUAGGUUCUUAAUUUUUUUUAAUUUCCUAUUAAGGGGUUGAGCCCUUCACAACAUUUAGUUUAAUUUGAUUUGGUGUCAGUAUAUAUAUAUAUAUACACACACACAUUCUCGUACCAAUACUGUUUUUCAUAUUCCGCAGGGACGAUGCCAAGCUUAUUGAGGACAUUGUACAACAUAUUGGAGCCUGCCUGCACAAAUGAAUCGGCUUCACCGUUUAACAUAUUUCAAAUGGGACAUGUAUCACCAAGUGCGUGUGUAUUUUUGUUUUGGCGGAUGAUUUCACAGUUUGUAAUUGCCUCUGUAGGGUUUAUACUGUUACACAGAACAGUCUCUUUUGAUCAUUCAAAGGUUAUUUCUCUAAUAAACUUGUCAGCAGAUCAUACAUAUUAUUAUGUGUCAUAAAUGUGACAUAUCAUAGAUCUUUACUAAAUGUAACAUUAGAAUUUAUAUAUUAUUAUGUGUCAUAAAGUUUUGAUUUAGUAAACUUGUAAGUGGAUCAUACUUUUGGACAUUAGCUAAUAAAUCAAUAGUUUGUCGUAAUUUUUUUAAUCAAUGUACAAUUCUGAAUCAACUCAUACGAUGUAGCCCAUUGAAGAUUUCCCAAACUAAUACAAUUGUUUGACAUGGUACCGAAGUCAUUUGAUUUGAAACGUGUAGACUUUGCAUUUAGUACUUACAUGAUUUUGAAACAUUAAUGUUUUGUCCUUUUUUUAAUGAAAAUUAGAAUAGUUAUUGUUUAGGGUAGAAAAUUUGGUAUAUGUGGAGAGGGUGUGGAGAGAUUUUUCAAUGUGACCCAUAUACGAAAUGGUACAUCACGUGUCACUAUACAAAUGAUGAGAUAUGUGUGUUAAAAAGUUAAUAACUUAAAAAAUGCAAUUUCCCACCACUUAUAUAAAAACACGUGAUGUACCACUCGUGUUUUGGUUACAAUGAAAAAUUUCUCGAGGGUGUGAGGGUAAGUUCAGAUAAGUUAGGUGGAUGUUUUCAGCAGGGAUCAGUGUUCAACAAAUAAUGGGGUGUUAUUAAAAUCAGCCUUCUAGUCUCCACUAGCAAUUAAGCCCCGCGCGAUGCCGCAGGUUUUAACACCGUUUAAGGUCAUAUUAUUUUACAUAUAAUAUGUUUACACUGAGAGAGACUAUUUAAAGUGUUAUUUACAAAGAGAUGAUACUAUUUACCAACUCAAAUCACACUGACGGUGUUUGUACUAUACUUGACCAAUCCCGAAACUACCGAGUACCGGUCAACGUUAUACCGUCAAGGACCCAGAAGAGCUUCCCUUCAACCAGGAGGCCAAUCACAAUGCGACACGUGUCGACAUCAGAAGCCAAUCACAGCACGACACGUGUCAACAUCAUAAGCCAAUCACAACACGACACGUGUCAAUGUUAUAACAAAACUAGAAACCCUCUUCUAUAAAUAGGGAUCAUUCUCAUACAAUAAUCUCUAAUGUCAUUUUGUACUAAACUAUUCACUAGAACUCACAAAAGGAGAGCUUGAACCUAUGUAUUUGUGUAAACCCUUCACAAUUAAUGAGAACUCCUCUACUCCCUGGACGUAGCCGAUCUGGGUGAACCACGUACAUCUUGUGUUUGCUUCCCUGUCUCAAUUCAUUUACGUACUUAUCUUCACUAGUGAUCGAAGCAACCAAGCGAAGGUCACAAAACCUGACACUUUCUGUUGUACCAAAGUCCUCGCUGAUUUUGUGCAUCAACAUUUGGCAAGCCCGAAACUACAAGUAAGCUUCAAGUGAAAUUGAUACAUUACCUUGUGCAUCUUCAUCAGUUAAAGAUACCACCCCUGGAUGGAGGAAAAGUACUUCCAGAGAAGAUGCCACAUCUACAUAUGAGACAGAUAAGGCAAGUGAAAAUGAUACCACACCUCGGUACUUAGAAGUUUCGUGAUUACUUAGCGACUUGGAUCUUGCAAGUCCCCAACCGAGGAGCUUCCCUCACUCGGGAGCUUAAGGGAGCACUGUUUGUACCAUACUUGACCAAUCCCGAAACUACUGAGCACCGGUCAACGUUAUACCGUCAAGGACCCAGAAGAGCUUCCCUUCAACCAGGAGGCCAAUCACAAUGCGACACGUGUCGACAUCAGAAGCCAAUCACAGCACGACAUGUGUCAACAUCAUAAGCCAAUCACAACACGACACGUGUCAAUGUUAUAACAAAACUAGAAACUCUCUUCUAUAAAUAGGGAUCAUUCUCCCACAAUAAUCUCUAAUGUCAUUUUGUACUAAACUAUUCACUAGAACUCACAAAAGGAGAGCUUGAACCUAUGUAUUUGUGUAAACCCUUCACAAUUAAUGAGAACUCCUCUACUCCCUGGACGUAGCCGAUCUGGGUGAACCACGUACAUCUUGUGUUUGCUUCCCUGUCUCUAUUCAUUUACGUACUUAUCUUCACUAGUGAUCGAAGCAACCAAGCGAAGGUCACAAAACCUGACACUUUCUGUUGUACCAAAGUCCUCGCUGAUUUUGUGCAUCAACAGACAGUAUGCUUUUUGAGCAAAUUCUCGACAAACUUGAACAGUGAAAUGGACAAAUCAAUAGGUCAUAGGAGAUGAAUGAAAUUUCAAAUUAAUUUACCAUGAAUGGAUUAAUGAAGAAUCAAUAGAAACGGUAAACAUGGUAGUCAUACAUAUUAGGAAGCUAUCCAUCUAUAAGCCAGCCCUCAUUAAUUCAUCCGCUUCCACUAUUCUUCUAGUGACUGAUAAAGAAAGCGAAGCUGCCAGCUCUGCUGUAGUUCCUGUAAGUACUCCCUUACCAUAUGAGCAAUAAAGUCUUUUAAAAGGAAUCCUAAUUUUCUCAACAUAAAAGAAAACUAUAAAAGCAUUACUAAUGACUAUAUCUGCAAUCAUGUUGGUAUUGAUAGACUUGCAUGUUUUAAUUUAUUGCCAUUGUCAUAAACUUGGUGUUUUCCUAAAGUAUAGUGCUUCAAAUGUUGAAAAGUUAACAUGGUUUUCACACAGUAAGCAGACAACUUCAAUCUACAUUUCCUUCCAUAAUGCACUAUCAAUUAAAGUCCUACUCAAGACUAAAAUUAAAAAUCCUAUUUAUACAAUGCCAAAAUAUGCAGAUAUUCAAGUUGAAUAAAGGGUUUAUUUAAAAACUAAUAUUACUAUUUUCUUAAUUUAUACAAUGCCAAAAUCAAAUAUGCAGAUAUUCAAAUUGAACAAAAGGGUUUAUUUAACAACUGAUAUUACUAUUUUCUUAAUGAGGUGUGAAGAAAUAGCUAUUGAUUUGGCAAACAAUGAAAUGAAUGCUAUUUAAAAACUGAUAUUACUAUUUAGAGUGCCUUACUUUUCAAUAUCUAUUUUCUUAAUGCUAGAAUUUAGAGUGCCUUACUAUUUUCUUAAUGAGGUGUUAAUGAGGUGUGAAUAGUAUUCAAAUAUCUAUUUAGAGUGAGGCACUCAAUAUCUAUUUUCUUACUGUUCAAUAUCUAUUUAGAGUGCCUUACUAUUUUCUUAAUGAGGUGUGAAUAGUAUUCAAAUCACUAUAAUAUCUCAAAUCAUAUUGAACAGUAAGGCACUCUAAAUUCUACUUCUUAAAAACUCCUUUUGAUUUGGCAAACAAUGAAAUGAAUGCUAAAAUGAGUUGUGAAGAAACAACUAUUGUAUUAUAAGUCACUUCUAGCAGUUAAACGAAUUAUAUCAAAACUGGAUGAUUUCUCACAUCUAGAAACAUGAAAUAAUUAAUGUUAGAAAUACUAAUCAAAACGUGUUCAUACCAACAAGCAAAAUUGAAAUCACUAAUCUGUAUAUUAUAAUAAAGUAAUGAAGUUUUGAAUAUAUUUAUGUUUAUUGCAAACUCAAGUACAACACAAUCAAAGAUAAAUGGAGUCCAAAUCCUAACCUUGGUCCACAAUCAUUUCAACAAUAUCAUAUGAAAAAGCCAGAUCAGACUUGUUCGAAAGAGUCAGCACUCUCCUUGUAUUCAUAUAACUUAAAAACAUCUGCCAUAUCAAUGUAUGUAUCCAUUUUAGUUUCUAUUAUCUACACAUUUGACUUAAGAUAUGCUAAUAUUACUGUCAAUUGAAAAUCGAAAAAUUUCAAGCAUAUGAGAAUUGGCCAAUGCAACACUGAAGGUCCCCUCAGACUGAACAGAAAGCUUAUUCCAAGAAGUUACCUUAUUUUUUGAAUGCUUAUUCUUUACAUAUAAUAAGUCAGUAACCAAAGUCAUCACAAAAUAACACUCUCUAUCAUAAUUAAAAUAAUAAUAUAAUAGUAAUAAUAGCAGAAGCCUUGGCCCUGAGCAUGCUGCUUGGUAAUAUGCAUUAGUUGGCCCUGAGCAUGCUGUUAGUUGGUUAUAUGUAUCAAUUGUCAGUCGUUCAUAUGUUGAUUGUAAAUUUUUUAUUGUUCAGUGAUGUCAUGUUUACAAAUGGAAUUAAUUGAAAAUUGAGGAGAACUCUUUCUCAACUACAAAGGAUGAAAUAAAUGAAACAAAAACUAAAUAGAAAUAAUUUUGCUUGUCCCAAAACAAAUUUUGGAUCAAAGCACAAUGGAGAAAUAUGAAAGGAAAACUAACUACUUGUACUCAAUUGUUUAGGUGGGUGCCCCAGAAGUGGAGAGAUUUUCCAGGGCAUUUCAAAGAUACCCAAAUUUCAAUAUUAUUAUGGAUCAAACAAUGCAAUGAACACACACAUUGCAUAUACAAUGAGGACAUUACAGAGUACAUGAUCAUCGAGAGAGACCAACAAAGGCGAUUGGUUACUUGACCAAGAAAUAUAUCGAAUCAAAAUUCAAAUGGAAGGCUUCACAUCAACCGACAUAAACAACUAACAAUCCAAGGGUACUGAUAUAGCUACAACGGGAACGACUCCAAAACCCAGAACUUCAAACGUAAAAUUAAAAAAAUUCAUCAAAAUUUGACUACAACCCAAUUAUAUUAAAUCACAAAUUUGAUGCAUAUUUGGACAUGAAAGAGAUCUAGAAGGUACCUGAGGUGAUGGACAAUGGUUUGAGACCAACCUUGAUGUUGGACGUUGCCAGAAUUGUCUGAUUCAUGUCGGAAAAUUCAAACUCGAACCAAGCUCAUAGGUUCUAGGGAGAUGAUGUUGUGAAAAGCGUGUCAAUUUCCCCAAGAAAAAGCGGAAAUCUACAAUCGGACACACGAAAAGAAGAAAAUGAUGAACUAUUAAAGCAAAAAACAAAAUGUUGAGAGAGAUGAGAACGGACCUUGGAAUCGAGGACACAUGGGGGAAUUCCGCCGAAGGUUGGAGUGGAGGAGGAGCAGAAGGAUGGGUGGUGGGUGGUGGGUGGUGGGUGGCGUCUUCCUUCGUCUUCAUCCAAGGUAAGAGAGGGCAGCUGUUUUCGUAUGCCCUUUGAGCAGAAGGUUUUCACUGGAAAGGUAGUCGAAUAGGAAGGAAGAAGUGAGGAGGAAGGGGAGUGCGAUCUCACGUGUCAAAAGGAAUGUGGCAGACUUGUAAUAACACAAAAUGAGCAAAGGUAAAACAGGAAGAACACUGUGUUUAUAAACAAUGUUUCAGUUGAUUUUGACUUUUAGUAUAGAUUGAAUUUAAUUGAAACUUCCAAACAAUUAUGCAUGGGUUUCAUAAAAUAUAUUAAUUGGUUCACAAGUUGGGCAACAAACAAUAAGAAUCGGCUGCGCAACUUGACCUUGACAAUUUAAUAAAUAAAGCCUUUUGUUUUUUCUGUUUUUCUUCUUUUUGUGAAGAAAAAAUUUAUUAAAAAUGAAGAAUGAAAAACGCGUUACUUCGUUGCCAUUGAAUUUCCGAUUACAUUACUGGAAGAAGACAUGAGAACACACAUAAAGCAUUUCUCUUUCGUUUUGGGUAUAUCCUUUUUUUUUUUUUUGGGUAUCAAAUUUCAACUGAUGUUUUAUUUUUUAAAUAUAUUGUUUGGCGGGUUAAUUACACAUGCACGCAUGAGGUUUCUUGUAUGUUCACAAAACCCCCUCAAUUUUUGAACAUAUCACUAACACCCUUUGACGUUUUAAAAUUAUUUCACAAAACCCAUUUUAUUAGGGUUCCAUUAAUUUUAUGGAAAACUAACGAAAAGUUCAAAAAAACUUAUCUUUUAACAAAAAGCCCUUUUUAAAGGUAUAAUGAAUAGUGUCAAUUAAAAGUAAAAAUGUGGUUUUUCGUUAAAAAUAAAUAGUAACGGGAGUGUUUUGUUAAAACUCCCUUAAUUUUAUGCUGACGUUAACAUAAAAUAAUUUUGAAAUGGCCAAACACCUUGAUUACCAAUCUCCUAAGUUGAAUAAAAUGGCUUCUCCGCUAUCUUCUUCGAUUUGUCUCUGAAUCCAACACUAAACCGACAACGGGUUUUCUAUAGAGUUCUUAAGGUACCUAAUGGUGGUGUGAAUAAGUUGUGCUUGUUUAUGCAGGAGAAGAUAAAUGAUGAGAUUUUGAUUGAUGUUAAAAAGUUACUUGGAAGAGGCUUUCCUCAAUUGAUUUUGAUGAAUGAAUUUUAAAUGGAUUUGAUAAAGAAAUUCAAGAAAGCGGAGAAGACACUGACAGGAGAAAUUAUAGUGUAGUACAGUAGAGAUUAAAUUCCACUUGUGUGAUAACAUGACACAUGACAGAAUUUGAAAUGAAGUAUCACAAAUAACAGUAUUUAUCCACAGAAAGAUCGAAGAAGAGCACAGAGAAGACAGAGUCGAUGAUUGGUAAAUCGGGGUGUUUGUGAUAUGUUCAAAACCUGAGAGGGUUUUGUGAAAACACAAAAAAACUUGAAGGGGUGUAUGUGUAAUUAACCCAUUGUUGACCUGGCCGGACUUCCAUUUUAUUAAUAUUUCAUGCAGAGAUCGGACCAGUAUCCAGCGGUUCUUUGUUUAGGGUCCAAAAUCGAUAUUGUGCCUGUUAAUGGCCUCUUUUUCUACUCCUCCUCCUCCUCCUUCUUCUUCCCGUGGUCGUUGGAUUUAUGAUGUGUUCAUUAAUUUCGGGAGCGAAGACACUCGCAAGAUCUUUAUCGGCCAUCUUUACAAAGCGCUGGAGCAGAAAUCAAUCAAAACCUUCAUUGAUGGCGAUGAUCCGGAUCUCUUGACAACUAUCCAAGUGUCAAAGAUCUCGAUUGUAGUUUUUUCUAAAAACUAUGCUUCUUCUUCCACGCGGUGCUUAAAACAACUUGUUCAUAUCCUAGAUCAUAUGGAUCCAGAGAAGCAUAUAGUGGUGCCCAUUUUCUACCAAGUAGAUCCGUCUCAUGUUCGUAAACUCGCGGGAAGUCUUCAACCUGAUCACGGUUCUAACGCCAGCAUCGAAGAGAUGCAGAACUGGAGGUCCGCUCUAACUAAAGCCGCCGGUAUAUCUGGCUGGGAUUCACAAGAGUCUAUGUAAUUUUGUUUAGCUACUUUCUUUGUUUGAGAUUUUCAUAGUAUUUAUUCUGUUGGUAUCACAAUAUUUUGUGUACGUGUUUUACUAGAAUAUAUAUGGCUUUACGGCUUAUGGAGAUUGUGCAAUACUGUUUUUCAAAUUCCACAGGGAUGAUGCCAAGUUUAUUGAGGACAUUGUGCAAGAUAUUUUUAGUAAAUUGCUCCAACUCAGCAAUGUUUUCAUCAAUUUUAGAGGUGAAGACACUCGCCUCAGUUUUGUCGCCCAUCUCCACAAAGCUCUGUAUCAGAAAGCAAUCCACGCCUUCAGCGAUCUUGGAGAGCUUAAUAAAGGCGAUGAGAUUUCGAAUCUCUUCAACGAUAUUCAAAAAUCAAGUAUUUCGAUCGUAAUUUUUUCCAAAGGAUAUGCCCAAUCCACAUGGUGCUUGAGAGAACUGGUCGAAAUCCUGGAAUGUGUGGACAGAAAAAUUCAGAAAGUGUGUCCCGUUUUCUAUGGAGUAUCUCCAUCUGAAGUUCGUAAAAUCACCGGUCCUUUUGGGGAUGCUUUUUAUCGAUACAAUGACAAUUCUCGCUUCGACGUGGAAGAGGUGAAGAGAUGGCGCUACGCUCUCACUAGAGCCGCCAAUUAUAGUGGAUUUGAUCGCAUUCAUUCCAAGUAAUUUUUCUCUACAAAAUGUUAAUAUUUUUAAGUUCUAAUUUUGGCCUUUUCAAUCCAAGUAUACUAUUUUCCAUAUUGCACAGGAAUGAUGCCGAGCUUAUUGAGAAAAUUGUACAACACACUUGGAGAGCCUGCCGUGACUUCGACGUUUAACAUAUCUUGAAUUGGAGCUUGCAGCCGACUGUAAUCAAAUACCAGAGCUUUUCAGCAAGUUUAAACUACAUGGAUGAACAAUAAAUCACAGCUUUGGAAUAGUUUCAACUUUCAAUAAUUUCGUUGAGGGAUAUUGUGGGUUUCAUUGCUUUUGAAUAAAUAAAUUUCUGUAAAACCGUAUAUGUCAAUAAGAUGCUGUUAUCAAGGACAUUCAUUGACUGGCUAGGCCAUUCAAUAGAAUAUCCUGAAAGCGUGUUUUUAGGGAGGCGAACUUCGUCCUGUAGACAAAUCCCAAUUUUAUGAUCGUACCAUUACGAUUGCGGCAUGAAGUGCUUAUUACAUCUUUGAUUGUAUGAGUGCGAGUGUGGUAGGGGAUUUAGUUUGUAACGGGUUGUGUGGUUGUACUCUUUUCUUUCUGUAUCAGAAAAAAGAAAAAUUGCCAAUAAGGGUCACUAUUAUGAUGACAAUAUGGCAAAUUUGACAUGUCUCAAAUGUCUAAAUCUCUUUGGCUGCUAAAAUCUAAGUUUCCUGAGAACUUUUGGAAUUUAUUAGAAGUGGAGUUUGACAACGACAGGGGUAUUCUACACUCGUAAUAACUACUCACGCCCUCCAUUUUACCUUUGUACAUGACACGCCCAGACCCUGAUAUUCCUUAAAUACCAGGAUAGACACGUGCUGGCCGACACCCGAGGGUGACGAAAACCAUUAAUUGAUACAAAAGCUAAGAAUAAGAAAUAAAUACGGGUUAUAAAUUUAAAAACAAUGAGUUAAUAAUUUAGGAACGUGCUCAGAGCAUACAACUAAACCUAAUCACUAAAAAGAAUUAAGAUAAAAUUUAAUGAAUAAAGAAGUGGGUCCUACAUCGAGAGGACUCAAAUAUGCUGCUGCGGAAGUGUCUUGACGCCGGGAUUAGGUGCCUUGAUUCUGAGUCCUGAAUGGGGGCACAAAACAAAGGUGAGUGGACCAAGUUUAUAUAUAUAAUAAUAAUAAUAAAACAGUUAUCAACAUACUAACCCUCAAAGUUUAUAUAAUGAAAACUACUAGCAUAAUAAAUGAUGGAUUUAAUAAAAAUCCUAGCAUGCCAAAAAUAUCUCAAAAGCCAUAUCGCGGAAUAACAUCGCGGAAAUCAAACAGUAAACGCAUCAUAAAUCGUCUCGUAAGCGCGGUGUGCUGCUAGUAAGAUCACCGAAUAAAUAUAACUCCCGGCCCAAUGCCUGCUCCGUGGUCUCUGCGCCCGUAGCCAGAGAUUACCAACUCCCGGCCCAAUACCUGCUCCAUGUCCCUCAGCCCGUAGCUAGGAAUUAUUUCUCCCGGCCUAAAUGCCAACACCAGUUCCUCGCCCCAGGCGGCAUAGUGUCUACUAGGUACGCACAAAUAGUUACGUCUCUCUUAAAUAACCACUUCAUAGCAUAGGUUACCGAUCAUCGUCUACACUAUAAAGAGGGGUUCAAAAACAUGUUCUAGCAUCCUAUCGUCAUCUAUCAUAUAGUCUACCAGUUCAUGGUUUUUAUAGAAAAUACGAUAUAUUAAAAUAUAGCUCAAAAUAGGCUAACAAUUAAUUCCUCACCAAAACACGAGACGAUAAUCAAUAUCUUAAAUCAUCAGGCUUCACAUAAAUCAAAUCAUAAAUUCGUAGGCAUGCUAAUCAUUUAUGCAAUUACUAUAAAAUCAUGUAAUUUUAGAAAGGGUCCACUCACAGUACUUAGUUGCCAAAAGCUGCGCCACUAGCGAAGAUGGAAACGUCACAAUAAUUGCCCCUAAGCACAUUAAAUGGUACAAUUAAUAAAACUAUAUAAUAGCAAUUGAAUUUUGGAAAACGGACAUUGGAAAUGGAUUCAGAACGUCGAAUUACCUUAAGAAGGAUCCCGGACGAAAACCCAAAAAGUCAACCCUAAAGUCAACGUUGAUCGAGGGUCAACGGUCAAAUUAGGUCUAACGGGUUUUAGGCUUGAAAUCCGGAUUAGGGUUUAGGUUAAAUAGGAUUAGGACCUAUUGGGUUUUGAACUAAAUAAAAUAAGGGAAUUGGGUUGGAUGGGUUAGGCCCUAAUAGAUUUUAAGAACCUAGGGUUUUUGGGUUAAAAGGGUUUUAGGGUGAAAAAGGGUGGUCUGGGCUUAAGCCCAAACUCACACACAACACACACAUACUCACACAUUACACAAACCCUAAAACGCGCGCACACACACAGGCUGCACUAGGGCAGCCCUCACAACACUUCACAAAGGCCCUAAGGCCUUAUUAAAGGGCUGGGCUUAGAGCCCCUUAACCAAAAACCGGCCCAAGGCCAUUCUAAAUAAGGCCCGUGGCCUUUGGGGUCUUUAAAACAAAAUAACUUAAAAAUAAAAGGGUGUGGGCUGGGUUACUGGGCUAGGCCCGGGGGUUCUAAUGGCCUGAAAGGCCUUGUUGCUGAGGAAGAAGGCCGGAGAUUCGGCCGGAAAACUACCCGACUUUAAACGGCCAUAACUUUGUCAAUACUCAACGAAAUCAAGCGAGAAAAAAACGAAAGUUGUAUCCCUUGAAGAGACAAAGAGAAUGGUACCUCACACGACAUCUAACUCGCUGUGGUUUGGCCGGAAAUUUCCUCGAAAGCCUCGGAGGUCGCUUGGAAACUGGGUAAGAUUCAAAUGAGUAUAACUUCUUCAAUACUCAAUGAAAUUGAGUGAAACCAAAAGGCAAGUUAUAGUACUCGACGAGACGAAGAGAUUGAUACCUUGCACGCCGGCCAACUCGCAGUGGUUUGGCUGGAAAUGGCCUCGAAAGCCGUCGGACUCGCCGGAGGUUAUUUUCUUGGUUUCGCCGAAUUGCGCAGAGGCAAGAGGAAGAGGAAAGGGACGAGGUUUAGAUGGUGAUUGUGUCUUCCUCGAGCAGGGAGUGCAGCUGGGUGUGAAUGUGAUCAUAGAGAAGAGAGGAAUAGAAGUAUACGGGAAAGGGAAGAAGGAGAGGAAGAAAGAGAGAAGAGGGCUCGGGGACAAAAUCAGGGGGGUGGGUCCCCUUGGCUCACCAUUUAAGACCAAAAACAAAUUUUAAAAGGAAGAUAAAUUCCCAAACUUGAUGAAAAUACAAAAAUACCAUUUAUGUACAGUAAAUCUCAGGACGGGUUGUUACAAUCUACCCCCCUUAAAAGAAUUUCGUCCCGAAAUUUAAAAUAAUUUACUUAAUUAAAAUGCUCGAAAAUAGAAAGAAGAAUAUAUGUAUAAAGAGAAAUCUAGUCAGAGUGGGUGCAUCUAAAGAGAAUAUGCCACACCGUCGCGAGUGGGUUGCAAAAUCCUCUAUCAAGCCUCCAAGCUCUUACUUUAUUCCUCAUCAUUGUAAAAGUAAAAACAUACUUUAUAAAGAUAAAGGUCGAAAACACAAAAUAGUCUAAGGCCAGAUAAUAUCAAAAUAGAUAUGUACUAAUAUAUACAUCAAAACUCAAAUCAACUUAAAAAUGAAAACAUAAAUACUUUUCCAAAAACAUUUGUAACGCCAAAACAAUUAACUAGAGUAAAUGAAGUUAAAAUACUUAUACUGAAAAUCAAGAUUGAAGAAUGGGAGUGGGUCUCGCCCAAGAAUUCGAAAUGUCGCAUAUUCCGAGAAUAGAUGUGCCUUUAGGUCGAGUCCCAAGAAUAACAAUUCCGAAUCUGCAUCAGCUGCUGUAGACGAAUCUUCUUGCCCACUUGCUUAACGAACCCAACAAAUAAGCUAUCGAUAUGACAGUCUGCAGCCCGCAAUAUCGACCUCACAUUUGUUGUCUCGAUAAGCAAGUAGUAAUUUCUCAAAUGGUGCAGAAUUUCACAUAUCGUAGGAUCGAUCCUCCAAAUACAAGUUCGCAAGACUUUUCAGUCAACCAGUGUUAUCCAUGAAAAACUAUCGUAUCAGGUCGCAACAGUGCCAUACCCAAACCAAAUAAAACAGAAACUGCCGUCGUAAAACUCUAUCCAGCACCAAGCAUCCUAUCUUCCUCAGUUCUUCCAAAUGUGACCAACUACUUCAGAAUUUCACCCGUAAAUAACCCAUUUGAAAAUUGUACCUUGGGAUUCAAGAGAAGUGGCUACCAUGUUAGUAGUAGACCUAAAAGCUCAAACCAAGCAAGCAGAAAAAGAGAAGUCAUCUUCCUCAACACGCAGUAUCUCUUGGGAACUGUUGUAGUGCUCAAUCCACCUCUCCAUUUUUGCUUAGUUGCAUAUUUCUAGUCAACCAAGGUCAAAGUUGGUGGAAAGAAGAACGACUCGCAAAUGAUCAACCUAAAAACAAAAGAGAGUACACACAUUCGAGAGAAGUGUAAAGAUUAUCCAAUUCUCGCUUCGACCGUCCUAUAGUGCCAUUCCAGAAUACACCAAACAGAUCUGCUAGAAAUGUUUUAACAACCACAUACUCAUAACAAUAAGGUUCAGAAGUGAAGUAGUGGAAAUAUGCGUCGAGACGAACACAUAUUGUUGAAAAAUAACUGAUGUGAUGCCUAUGAAUUCCAGUAAGAUGGUGAUACAAUAUGCUGACCUUCUGCACCAUAAUCUUCACUAGUCUCUUACCAAAUGACAACUCAAACUUCACACCCACGAUGAACUCUUUAUGAUAAGUCUGGUAAGCUUGUGAAAAGAUUAUGCUCCCAACAUUCAUGUCCAAAUCGAUAAGAAUUGGGCGCACACUUCCGCCGAAUCGAUCGAUUGUGAAUUCCUCACUGCAUAAGUAAGAAUCCACGUCGAGAAGGCUAAAAGAACACUUAAGAAUUUGAGGAUCAAAACAAGUCCAUUAAAAUAUGGAGUACAAGAUAUCGAGAUUUGAACUAGAAACCAUGCCGAGAACAAACGUUUUUUUUAUUUUUUUUUAUUUUUACCCUCAUGUAAUGUUCCGGCAUGAUCCAGUUUCAUAUUGAGAGACGAAUAAGCAAAGGAAGGUGAAGAUGCAGAAAUAGAAAUAACUGUUUAUGAUUAUUUUGCAAAUCAUCACAGUAUGGUCAACUCGUUUCUUUAGCAAAAAAAAGAAAUAGGUCCAAACUCAGGAAUAUUUAAGAACUAAUAAUAAGAUUUGAUGAGGCCAAAGACAAUUUGAAAUUCACAAUACCUUGUGAGAGCUGCUUCAAAGUUCAAAAAAUAAACAUAGAACCUCUGAAUCAGCAGAAUGACGAAGAAGAAAGAUACAAAACAGCCUGCAUAUGCAUGCAGUGACACAAUUGGCUACCUUAAAGUGAUGCUCUUGAGCAAACCAAAGCUCAAUGAAUCCAGAGAAGUUUAGAGUAAAGUUCGAUCUUCGUACAAUGAUGAAUAUGAUAGAGUCUCAAGCCAUUACACUGAAAAUUACAAGGCUGAACAGCUAGGCUGCAAGUAAGAGACUAAGUUCAUCCUCGCCGAAAAGUACGUGAACGAGGAACUAGGGUUUACCACCAAGUACUAAACCCAGGGAAUCUGUUCAUCCAAACAAGACUGGAUAUUCAUCAUCCAAGUCCAACUACAACAACAACAAGAAUUGCAACUCUUUUUGGAAAUUAAUGAGAAUAACGUCUGCUACUGAAGAGUUUCCAAAGAUUUCGAUGUAAAGCCGACUUCGCCCGCAAUUCCUAGGGAACGCAUGUUGCAGAGUGGCAUCGCCAUUUCGAAUCUACGGCUGGUCUUAACCAGAACUCCUCAAAUUGAGAUUUCUAAAACACGUCGAUGAGUAUCGAUCCGAUGUUUAAAGUCGUCCAACAAUUCACUUCAUCACUGUUGAGGCAUAAUCCCGACACAAAUUCUUGUAUUUCAACCAGAAAGUGACAAUUCAAUCAGAGAGAGAUUUGCACAACUGCACCGACUGGCACAAAAUCCGGAAGUCGUGACAUCCAAAUUAUGUCAAAACCGACACUUAACGAGAAUAGAAGAGAAUCCUAAGUAUGCUCUGAACAAAUCACGCUCUGAUACCAAUCUGACACGCCCCGACCCUGAUAUUCCUCGAAUACUAGGAUAGACACGUGCUGGCCGACACUCGAGGGUGACGAAAGCCAUUAAUUGAUACAAAAGCUAAGAAUAAGAAAUAAAUACGAGUUAUAAAUUAAAAAACAAUGAGUUAAUAAUUUAGGAACGUGCUCAGAAUAUACAACUAAACCUAAUCACUAAAAAGAAUUAAGAUAAAAUUUAAUGAAUAAAGAAGUGCGUCCUACAUCGAGAGGACUCAAAUAUGCUGCUGCGGAAGUGUCUUGACGCCGGGAUUAGGUGCCUUGAUUCUGAGUCCUGAAUGGGGGCGCAAAACAAAGGUGAGUGGACCAAGUUUAUAUAUAUAAUAAUAAUAAUAAUAAAACAGUUAUCAACAUACUAACCCCCAAAGUUUAUAUAAUGAAAACUACUAGCAUAAUAAAUGAUGGAUGUAAUAAAAAUCCUAGCAUGCCAAAAAUAUCUCAAAAGCCAUAUCGCGGAAAUCAAACAGUAAACGCAUCAUAAAUCGUCUCGUAAGCGCGGUGUGCUGCUAGUAAGAUCACCGAAUAAAUAUAACUCCCGGCCCAAUGCCUGCUCCGUGGUCUCUGCGCCCGUAGCCAGAGAUUACCAACUCCCGGCCCAAUACCUGGUUGCCGAGGAAGAAGGCCAGAGAUUUGGCCGGAAAACUACUCGAAUUUAAACGGCCAUAACUUUGUCACUACUCAACGAAAUCAAGCAAGACAAAAACGAAAGUUGUAGCCCUUGAAGAGACGAAGAGAAUGGUAUCUCAUAAGACGUCUAACUCGCCGUGGUUUGGCCGGAAAUUUCCUCGAAAGCCUCGGAGGUCGCCGGAAACUGGGUAAAAUUCAAAUGAGUAUAACUUCUUCAAUACUCAAUGAAAUUGAGUGAAACCAAAAGGAAAGUUAUAGUACUCGAACGAGAUGAAGAGAUUGAUACCUUGCACGCCGGCCAAAUCGCCGUGGUUUGGCCGGAAAUGGCCUCAAAAGCCGUCGGACUCGCCGGAGGUUAUUUUCUUGGUUUCGCCGAAUUGCGCAGAGGUAAGAGGUAGAGGAAAGGGACGAGGUUUAGAUGGUGAUUGUGUCUUCCUCGAGCAGGGAGUGCAGCUGGGUGUGAGUGUGGUCAUAGAGAAGAGACGAAUAGAAGUAUAUGGGAAAGGGAAGAAGGAGAGGAAGAAAGAGAGAAGAGGGCUCGGGGACAAAAUCAGGGGGGUGGGUCCCCUUGGCUCACCAUUUAAGACCAAAAACAAAUUUUAAAAGGAAAAUAAAUUCUCAAACUUAAUAAAAAUACAAAAAUACCAUUUAUGUACAGUAAAUCCCGGGACGGGUUGUUACAGUACAAGCUUCAGGAUAUAGAGAAUUGUGGUUACUAUAUUCACAAAACUCUCUGUUAUUCAUCGGUAUUUUUCUGGAGAAAAUCGCUGCUGUUUGAAAACAAUUUUGAAAGCGUACCUGCUACUGCCAGAAUGAAUCGAUCGUCAUUGUUUAACACGCGUGAAAUCUUGCAGGAACCUCUUUCAACAAUUCAUCAAAAUUGGGUCUGUAACUGUAAGUAUAAUUCAUCAACCAUGUAUCUUUGUAUGCUUGCUUCUUUAUGUAACCAUAAAAUAAAAUGAUUUAUUUAUGAUAAAAAAUACGUCAUUGUUUAACACGCGUGAAAUCUUGCAGGAACCUCUUUCAACAAUUCAUCAAAAUUGGGUCUGUAAGUAUAAUUCAUCAACCAUGUAUUUUUGUAUGCUUGCUUCUUUAUGUAACCAUAAAAUAAAAUGAUUUAUUUAUGAUAAAAAAUAUGCCUUUUGUUAAAGUUUGGAAACAUAGAUCAGGGAUUAAGGUCACUUUAUUAACUGUGAUUAUAUUUCUUAGCCAGUUAGACGGUCUAGAUUUCAUAUGUCACACUCACACUUCUGUCUAGCCAAUUUCUCCAGUUAUUGGUAGAGGACAUGUUAACAGAGCUUGACCGAAUUAAAUUUAAUAUGCUGAAUAUUUCUUUAAUUGAUCAUUUCCAAUGUUACAAUAUACAAGUAUUUAUAAGAAGGAACCCUAUAAUUGACUCCUAUGAUUUAUACAAUUGAUACAAAAUAGGAAAGUAAAUAUCUAGCUAAUUGAUACAAUCAACACUAAGUAAGAAGGUAAUCAUUCCAACAUAUUUGCUCAAAUCAACGUUGAUUGUAUGUUAACUAGGCAAAUAUCUUGUAUGAUUGUUAACUUUCUCAACACUCCCACUCAAGUUGGAGAGUGAAUAUCAUGAACACCCAACUUGCACAACAAAGAACAAAAGCGUUCCUUGCCUAAGGCCUUGGUAAAGAUGUUUGCCAACUGUGAUGUGGAUGGAACAAAUCCGGUGACAAUCUUUCCUUCCAUAAUCUUAUCUCGAACAAAAUGACAAUCAAUCUCAAUGUGUCUUGUUCGUUCAUGAAACACGGAAUUGGCGGCAAUAUGGAGGGGUGCUUGGUUAUCACAAAAUAGGGUGGCUGGCCCUUGAUUUUUAAUCCUCAAAUCCUGAAACAAGUUUUUCAGCCAUGCUAGUUCACAACACAUUGCUGCCAUAGAUUGGUACUCUGCUUCAGCUGACGACAAAGAUGUUGAGAAAAAAAUUUGGAGUACACAACUCUAACACAAGUGUUCAAGAGACAACACAAGUAAACAAAUUACUUGUAUUACACACACAAAAUAUUACAACUAGUUAUCUAAAAAACGCCCUAGGCGGCCACCUAGGCGCUGGGCGGGCACCAACCGAGGUGAUUUCUGGCAAAACGGAUUGAAAAAUCGGCCGAGCUCUAGGCGGCCGCCUAGGCGGGCUAGGCGGUGCUAGGCGGUUGGGCGGAACUGGACCGUUUUUUUUUUUUUUUUUUUUUUUUUUCUAUUCUAAGUUUCAACUUCUAGAAUUCUAUAUUCCCGUGACCUAAUUGAACUCCUCUGCACUGCUGCGUCUCUUCUUCGCCGUUCGCCCAUUUCGUUUCUUCUUCGUUCUUCCUCAUCUGCACUGCAACCUGCACCGCUGUAAGACUUCAUCUUUUCCUCGGUUCUUCCUCAUUUGCACUGCACUCGCUUGCUGCACCGCUGCACGACUUUGUGUCUUCUUCUUCCUCAUCUGCUGCACUGCACUCACCUGCUGACUUCGUGUCUUAUUCUUCUUCCUCAUCUGCUGCACUGCACUCUGCUGCACUGCACUUUGCAACUACAGUCAACAACGAAGACUGCGAAGCCCCCAAAAAGUGAGUUUUUGUUCUACAAAUUUCAAAUUUGUAAAUGUUGAAUUUGUUAAGGUAUUGGAAAAAAAAAUUACAAAGUUUUGGAUUUGAAACCAAUUGUAUUGAGGGGAAUCUGACAAUCUGUUAACUUAUUUGUCUACUGAUACAAUGAUAAUUGAAAGAAAUUCUGAUAGUAUUAUUUUCGUGCUGGUUGUUUGCUAGAUCCAGGUGCACAUCUUACUAUCUUAGAUUCUUAGCCUAAUUUUGUAUCAAUUAAUAAUUAUAUAUAGAUGCAUGCGAGGAGCCAAGCUGCAUAUAUUUAUAAACACAAGAACAUGUCUGUCACAAUUGUUUGUAUAAUUGGGUGUCUAUAUGUGUGUAUAAGUUGAUUACGCAUGCCGCAUGCGUUUGUCUAUCACUACUGGGACAUUGUACCCUUUUUUAAAUUUUCACAGGUGUCUCCCACCUGGAUUCAUGCAUGUAUGGUAAGCAUGCUCAUCUAUGACCAAACCUAUGUAUGAAAAAAAUUUAUGGGAGGUAUAAGAUUUGAUCUCACCUUGGCGGAUUUCCUUUCGGCCAAAAGUUUCAUCAUACCCAUUUCAGCUUCUUGAGGUGGCAGAUUCUUGAACUGUUUUUCCAUUUCAUUUAGUUAUACUUCUGAGUUCUGAUCAUCAAUCUGAGUUGGCUAACUUGGCUUAUAAGUUAAUAUACUGUGAUAAUUUUUUGUGGGAGAUUAAUACCUAAAAGUUUGUAAUGUUUAUUUUAUAUGAAUUUUAGGAUUGUUUCUUCUCUUGUCUUGUGUGAUGAUGACUGGUACUUUAUCUUCUGGAGCAUCUACUACAAUGUCAUCCUCCUCCCAAUCUGAAAAUGUGUUGAAGCGUAGCUCGGAAGAUGUGGGAUGGGAAUAUGGGAUCUUGGCAAAUCCUACAAACUCAGAUAAGGUGAAAUGUAAGUUGUGUGACAAAAUCAUUAGUGGUGGAGUACAUAGAUUAAAACAACAUGUAGCCAACAUAAGGGGAAAUGUAGCGGCAUGCACAAAGUCUUCGGAUGAAGAUAAAGCCAAAUGUCGAGCCGUAUUAGAAGAAGCAAAAAAUAAGAAGAAACAAAAGGAUAAGCACAUUGUGGAAGUGAGGGAAGAGGUGCAACUUCAACAAAUUCAAGAAGAAGAAGACAUUGAAGUGAUUGGGUUAAGGAAAAGGCCUCGCACUCUUGGACCUAUGGAUAAGUUUGCAUCCUCCAUCAAUCUCGAUUCUUCAAAUGAGGGAAGUAAGAAGACUCGACAACAAAACAUCUAUGAUGCAAUUUGGAAAGAAAGAACACAUCAAGUGGAUCAAUAUCUGGCUCGAUGGGUGUAUGAAGCCGGUAUUCCUUUCCAUGCUAUUGAUAAUGAUAGCUUCAAGUGUGUGAUGGAAGCGAUUGGUCAAUUUGGCCCGGGUUACCUACCUCCAAGCCAAUAUGAAUUAAAGGAGCCAUUAUUGAAAGAAGAGGUAGAAAGAGUAAGAAAGUCACUCAAGAAACAUGAAGAAGAGUGGGCUUUGAAUGGUUGCUCAAUCAUGACCGAUGCUUGGAGUGACCAAAAAAGAAGAAGCAUAAUGAAUUUAUGUGUCAAUUGCAAGGAAGGCACCAUAUUUCUUUCUUCUAAGGAAUGCUCUAGUGAAGCACACACCGGGGAAUAUAUCUUCGAAUAUGUUGACAAGUGUGUUGAAGAAAUUGGGCCUCCAAAUGUAAUUCAAGUGGUAACCGAUAAUGCUUCUAACAAUAUGGCGGCAGCAAACAUGAUGAAAAAAAAGAGGCCGAAUAUGUUUUGGACAUCAUGUGCCACUCAUACUUUGAAUCUCAUGCUUCAAGGGAUUGGUAAUCUCCCUAAGGUUCAAAGGAGUUAUUGACAAGGCAAAGGCUUUCACUAUCUUCAUUUAUGCACAUCAUAAAACUUUGGCAUUGAUGAGGAAGCAUACCAAGAAAAGAGACAUAAUAAGGCCCGGAGUCACUAGAUUUGCAACUUCUUUCCUCACAUUGCAAAGUUUGAUGGAUAAGAAAAAAGACUUGAAGGUUAUGGUUGCUAGUGAAGAAUGGGAACAAUGCAAACAUGUCAAGACUACAAAGGGGAAAGUGGCAUAUGCUACUGUAUUGAGUUCACAUUUUUGGAGUGGGGUCUUACUUUGCUUGAAAGUGUUUGAACCUUUAUUCAAGGUACUUCGAAUUGUUGAUGGGGAUAAGAAGCCAUCAAUGGGGUUUUUGUAUGGAGAGCUACAAAAAGCAAAGAUGGAGAUUAAAGAGACAUUCAAGAACAAUGAGGCCAACUAUCAACCAAUUCUUCAAAUUAUUGAUGAAAAAGCUCGUGAGCGGCUUGAUAGUCCAUUGCAUUUGGCGGGCUACCUCUUGAACCCUUAUUAUUUCUUCAAAAAUCAAAGCAUACAACAUGAUCCAAUUGUCAUGGAGGGGAUCUUUACUUGUGUUGAGAAGUUCUUCCCCGAUAACUAUGAGGUUCAAAACCAAGUGAUAAAUGUUGAGAUGCAUAAGUAUAGAGUAAAAGAAGGUGGAUUUGGAAGACAUUUGGCCGAACUUGGAUGCGCUGAGAAUGAUGAAAACUAUAAUCCGGGUAUGAAUAUUCACAUAUGCUUAUAUUUUAUUUAUUAAAUUUGAGUUUACUACUUAUUUUUCAUUACUAAUUGUGUGUUUUUUUUUUCAUUAGUUGCAUGGUGGUAUAAUUAUGGAAAUGGUGUGCCUAAUUUGCAAAGGAUGGCUAUAAAGAUACUUUCAUUGACUACAAGUUCAUCCGGUUGUGAAAGAAAGAAAUUGGAGUUCUUUUGAAGGUAUACAUACAAAGAAAAGGAAUAGACUAGAUACAACAAGGUUAAAUAAUUUAGUCUAUGUCCAAUUUAAUGCAAGGAUUAUGAACAAGAAGAAAAGAGAGAAGGAGAAGAAGGUGGACAUAUUGCUUGCAAGUGAAGCUAGUAUGGCUCAAGGAUGGAUUGUGGAAGGUGGUGAUGAAGAGCUUGAGCUUGGCUUGGGAAUUGGAGAGACAGACAUCGGAAGUAGGUAGUUCCCUAGAGCCUAGGGGGAGUUCUAAAAAAAUAUUGAAGUAAGAGAACUUCAUGAAGAAGAUUUUAUAUCGGAUGAGGACACGGAAGAAGAAGGAGAUGAUGAAGAAAUUGAGUUCGAGUCCGACACGGAGAGAGUCUUUGAGGGAUAUGGUGAAGAAGAGUUUAAUGCCUAAUAACUUUCGUAGCUCAAUUUUCUUUUAUAUCAGUGUCUGCAUGUGUAGCAUUCGAACAGUUGACUCGUUGUUAAUUCUAUGAAAUGUAUGCCCAUCAUUCGUACUCACUGAUGUUAAUUCUAUUAUGUGAAAUGUUUGUGCAACAUUUGUACAUUUGACUUAGUAGUGUUGGACUUGAAUGUUUCAAUAGUUCUAGUCUUCCAUACUUACAAGUUACAAGCAGUGUCUAAUUUUGAGAAUGCUCAUUCAUUGGACAUAAGAUUGGAAAUCACAUUUCAUUUCAGUGGUUGCAAGCACUGCCUUGUUCUCAAGUAUACCAUAUGAUUAUUACUUCAUUUGUUGAAAGAAAUAUUUCUUUUGUACAUUUUCUACAUGUUUUGUAAGUGUCAAUAUACACUUAUUCACAGGAAAUACAAAAAAUUUACCUAAAUCCGCCUAGCCGCCUAGGCGCUAGGCGCUAGCCCACCGCCCGACUAGCGCCUAGCGUUUUUUAGAACCUUGAUUACAACACACAAAUUCUCAAGGACACUCUUUUAGAAGCUAUGACACUCACUCUUUCUAGAGACAAACUCUAGACCACUCACACUCCUACAAGACUACUUUUACUUCUCACUCUCACUUGGUUGCUUGCUUGAUUCUUACUUGAUUGAUUGGUUCAAAUACACCCAUCUUAUAUUUAUAGGCUUGCUAACCGACUUACCUAGAAGGUGAAAUUGGAUUCUUCCAUUUUAACCACAUGUUUUGUGAUGGUUCUAGGCUUUUCUACAAACCAUUUUUCUAGAUUUUCUUAGCCUAAGGCGGUGGACUUCCAAACACCAAUUGUUGCACUUUGCUAGAGUUUUCUAGCAUAUUUUCAUUCAUGAUUCCAAAUGGGCUGGACCUUAAUUAUUGGGCUGGUGUUGUACUUUUAACAAAAGAUACCAUUUUCUGGCGUUUGCUCUUCCAUGAGAUGAGACAGUUUCCAAUAAACACACAAUAACUUGUGGUGGAUCGUCGGGUAGUAGGACAACAUGCCCAAUCUGAAUCACAAUACGCCUUCAACUUUAAAUCAUUUUGAGAAGGAAACAUUAUGCCUUGGCCGGGGGUGCCCUUGAGGUAUUUCAAAAUACGCAAAGCAGCAUCAUAAUGUGGCAUCCGAGGAGUUUGCAUAAACCUACUCAAUAAGUGAACCGAGUAUGUAUAUCCGGCUGUGUAAUGGUAAGAUAAAUGAGACGACCAAUCAAUCUUCGAUAUUUUGCAGGAUCUUUAAGAACCUCUCCCUCAUCAGGAAGUAAUUUGAGAUUUUGCUCUAUUGGACAUUUUGCCGGCCGAGAUCCUAAAAAUCCAACAUCAUCAAGGAUAUCUAAUAAAUAUUUUCGUUGUGAAAUGAAAAUAAUUUUCUUGGUGCGCGCCACUUCUAUGCCAGAGCUUUCAUCAAGUAUAAACUUCAAAGAUCCUCAACUGGUGGAUAUAGAGAAAUGCAGCGACGCUUUUGAUAGAAGGUACAAUGUAGAGAGAGAGAUUGCAAUACAUUGUAUUUAAAUAUCAUGUUAUUUAGCACCUAUGUUUUAAAACAGAAGGACAACUUCUAAUUCCUGUAUCAAUCUAUUUUUCAAGCUUUUUAAAAUUUGCCGGUUUGGUGGAUGCUUCAGCUCUGAUAUCUGUCAGUGGUUCAUAAGCUUUGGCUGAUGGAGGCAAUGUGUUCUCUAUAGAAUAUUGUGUUUAUCGGUCGCAAGUCAACAGGCACUGAUCCCAGCUCCUUGAACUCGGAGGAAACUUUGGAUCCACGCUUUGUUUCUGGGAAUAUUGUAAUCUGUGACAGUUGAAUAAGCCUAAAGCGCAGAAGGGACUGGCUGGCGGAGGAGGAAAGAUAGAUGAUUUUGAGGAGGAGGAGAGGACGAGUAGGUAUGAUUUUGCCAAACACAGCUGCAUCGCUUAAGAAUGCGGAGUUUCAUUCUAUAUAGGCCAAUCGUGAGGUGCAAAACCAAAGCAUGUUGCGGCCCCAAACAUCAUCAUGAAAACUCUGAAGCGGAACUUCUUGUUCUUGGCAAAAUCACAGGUAGGAGUUGCCACUCAAUAUUUCAGGUGUGUUCUGUUUCUUUAUGUUGCAUUUUGUGUUUUUCUUUAUGUCUACUCGAUUGAUAAAAGUAGUAUUUCGAAUUUUCAGUCAGUGGCAGGUUUCACUCUACAGAGGAAGAAUGAUGCCGUCAACAAAUAAGCAAAAUAUAUACCUGUACGUGUAUAUACUGGUAGCAAUUCACCAAGCCCUGAUCCCACUUCCUUGUUUUGGAAGCAACUUUGAAUUGCUGUGUUGUUGCCAGGGAGAUUGUGAUUUGUUACCGUGCGAUUAGUUCGGGAGUGCAGAAGGGACGGAUGGGAAUAGGCAUGAUCUUGGCAAACAGCUUGCAAAUGGAAAUGGAAGUUGUGGCAGAUUGCCAACUUGUUCCUGCUUUUGACACUUCGCAGAACUGUUACUCUAGCAUUAUGUUUAACGAGCCCAAGAACCUCUACAACUCUAGCAUUUCUUGGGACUCGGUUUGAGUCCGCCUACAAUAAAGUCUGCCUUUCAUGACAACACGCGUAAGCCUCUGCAAGACGCCUCAACAGCUGCGGUUUCAACCCUGUAUGAUCACGGUGCACACCUCAAUAGUUAGCCUCCUCCCUCGACCUCAGAACAAAAUCAAAACAACAAUGUGCGUUGAAAUGUAGAACUAUUCAUAAUUUCUCAAUUCUCAAUUGAUUUUAGAAUAUGGGGUGUGCUAUCCACACAUCCCAUUUUACUUCUCACACACACCCCUUGAUACUUUCUGUUUGUUGAUUUUCUUCAGUUCAUCUGAUCCGACGUCCGAAAAUUAAAAAGUUGUGUGAGAAGUAAAAUAGGGUGUGUAGAUAUCACACCCCUAGAAUAUAAGAGAUCAGGCAAGAAGCUUUGUAGAGUUGCAAUAACCUAUGGAAGUGACGCAGGACGAAGCAAGAGAGAUACAAACGUAAGCCCUUGAAGAAUACAAUUUUUGGAGUCCACCAGAUUUUGGUUGAAAACCCAAAGGUUGUUUUGUUUAAUUGAUUAACUUGAUGCUUGGAAAUGAACAACCAAAUGGCUUAAAUAAAUAUAGUACAUUUGUUGGGACAACUAAAAGGACUAAUAACAUAAAUUUGAAAGACAAACGAUGACACGCCCCGAUCCCGAUAAUUCUCCGAAUAUCAGGAUAGGCACGUGCUGGCCGACACCCGAGGGUGACGAAAGCCAUUUAUUGAGUGCAAAUGCUAAAAACAAGGAAUUGAUAAGGUUUAUAAUAUAAAAGAGUAAAGAAUAUGCAUUUCAGGAACGUGUUCAGAACAUACAACUAACUAGAAUACUAAAAGAAAUAAUAUAAAAAUUGAAUGAAUAACAGAAUGGAUCCUACACCAAGAAGACUCGAAGAUGCCGAUGUGGAAGUGCCUUGACAUCGGGAUUGUAUGCCUCAAUUCUAUGCCCUGAAAGGGGCGCAAAACAAACAUGAGUGGACCAAGUUUAUAUAUAUAUAUAUAUAUAUAUAUAUAUAUAUAUAUAAUAAAACAGUUAUCAACGUACUAACCCUUAGGUUUUAUGAAAACACAUAUAUAAUGUUAAACAUAGGUUUUUCGAAACCUAGCAUGUCGUGCAAUGUCUCAAAUCACAACUCAUAUAUAUAAUAAUCACUAGUGAAUUGUGUCCGAUAACCCCCAGGCCCCAUGCCAGCUACCCGUCUCUGAGCAGACAGUUAGAGGAAAAUACACUUCAGGCCCCAUGCCAGCUCCCCGUCCCUGUGCUAAAUAGCUAGAGGAAACACACUCCAGGCCCUAUGCCAACACCAAACCGUCGCCCGGGACUGAUCGGAAUCUAUCCCUACGUCCCGUAGCGGAAAGGACCACUAGGUAAGUACAAAACCAUUGAACAUAUAUAUAUUGAAAAACAACUUCAUAGUAUAAAGUCAUCCAUCAUCUAUACUAUAAAGAGGUGUUCGAAACAUGUUCUAAAUAUCAUAUCGUCAUCCAUCAGAUAUUCUAUAAGAACACGGUUUAUAGGAAAAAUAGUAAUAAUUCAAAGUAGCCUCAGUAUGCAUGUUAUCUCACAAAACGUUUCAUAAAACGUAAUCAUCAAAUCAUGCUUUUCAUGUAUGCAUUUCUACUAUAAAACAUGCAUUUUAGAAGGGGUCCACUCACAGUAUUUAGCCGCCGAAGAACCACGCAACUAGCGAAGACAGAAACGCUACUACUAUAAUUGCCCCUAAGCACAUAAAUGACUCAAUUAAUAAAACUAUAUAAUAGCAAUUGAAUUUGGGAAAACGAACAUCAGAAACGGAUUCAGAACGUCGAAUUACCCUAAAAAGGGUCUCGGACGAAAACCCGAAAAGUCAACCCUAAAGUCAACGUUGACCGGGGGUCAACGGUCAAAUUAGGUCUAACGGGUUUUAGGCUUAAAAUCCGGAUUAGGGUUUAGGUUAAAUAGGAUUAGGAUCUAUUGGGUUUUAGAAACCUAGGGUUUUUGAGUUAAAAGGGUUUUAGGGUGAAAAGGCUUUAGGGUAAAGAAAUGGGGUUUGGGCUUAAACCCAAACACACACACACACGGGCUGCACAUGCAGUGCACAGCCCACACAACACACACACACACAGAGGCUGGGCUUGAGCCUUUUAGCAAAAACCGGCCCAAGGCCCUUCAGCAUUAAGGCCCGUGGCCUUUUGGGUUUUAAAAACAAAUAACUAAAAAUAAAAAGGAUGCGGGCUGGGGUACUGGGUUGGUCCAAAACGGGCUAAGGCCCGUGGGGUUUUCUAAAGGGCCUGAGAGGCCUGGUUUUGCCGAAGAAGAAGGCUGGAAAUUCGGCCGAAAAACCACCCAACUUUAAACGGCUAUAACUUUGCCAAAACUCAACGAAAUCAAGAGAAACAAAAAUGAAAGUUGUAGCCCUGGAAGAGACGAAGAGAAUGAUACCUCACAUGACAUCUAACUCGCCGUGGUUUGGCCGAAAAUGGCCUCGAAAGCCUCGGAGGUCGCCGGAAACUGGGUAAGAUUCAAAUGGAUAUAACUUCUUCAAUACUCAACGAAAUUGAGUGAAACAAAAAGGAAAGUUGUAGCACUCGACGAGACGAAGAGAUUGAUACCUUGUACGCCGGCUAAAUCACCGUGGUUUGGCCGUAAAUUGCCUCGAAAGUGGCUGAUUCCUCGCCGGAAAUGGGUGUUCCUACACCCGAGUUUGUUUUCAUCCUAAAACCUCCAAAAAUCACUAAAUAAUCUCAUUUAAAAAAGUCAUUCCAGCAAGAUUCAAGGACGAAAUAGAGAUAAUUAGGGGCUUACCUAACCGGAGAUUGAAAAAUCUCGCCGGAGUCCCUUUUUCCGGUUUUCUGGGGUCGCAGGAACGAGAGGGAGAGAGAGAGAGAGCAGGACAAGAUGGUGAAAGGUGAUGGUUCUUCCUCGCACACUCGUGUGCCUCUGUGCGUGUGUGUGCUUGCGGUGGAGAGAAGGGAGAGAAGUGAGAGUCGAGAGGGAGAGACAGGAAGACAGAAAACGAAAAAGAAAAGGAAGAAAUGAUGGGUUCACGGGGGGGGGGACAGAGAGAGAAGUGAGGUGAGUGAAUGGGGUGCUGCCACGUGGCAGCUUGAGGGAGAAAGAAUCCAAUGUUAAAUUUUUUUCAGAUUGGGUAGAUAAAAUGGGACCAAAAUGAUAUUUUAAAAAUAUUUUGGGGUAAUUACCUACAUAUAUUUUUAUAAAUAGGGGGUGGGUGUUACAAACGAAAUGUCCAAAUUUUUAUUAUAAACUUAAAAUUGCAUUUUGGAAGCUGAAACGAUUCCAAAUGGGUAAAAUCCAUGAGUUUGACUCGUGGCGUCGUUCUCUUUCCUAAAAGGUAUCAAGGGCCCAAUUCGGAGCUUGGACGUCAAAUAGACAAAUUUCCACUGUGUCCCCUUGUCUUUUAACAAUUCAUCUCCUCAUUGAUCCAUUCAACUAUUUGUUUUACGUCAGAAAGGUUCAUGUUAACGUGUCAUCUUGCAUCUGAAAUUAUGAGUUCUAAGAAAGAGGAGAGAGUUACGUUCGAUGGUAAGUGCCCAUGGGCUUUGGGCCUUACAUGUUUCCAAAUGACACCAGUGCGCACUUUAGCCCAUUCAACCAAGGCCAAUAUGAAUCGCUUUGACCGAGACAGUGAAGAGACAAUAGAGGGAGAGAGGGAGGGCGUUGACCUACAAUCUUAGCAUCCCUCCAAUUCAAACAAUUUCUGAAGACCAGGUGUUUCACUUUCGUCGGAUGUUAAUGGCAGCUGCUUCUUCUUGUUCUUCAUCUUCAUCCGACAGUAGUUUGAAAUAUGAUGUAUUCCUGAAUUUUAGAGGGGAAGACACUCGCAAGAUCUUCAUCGGCCAUCUCUACAAAGCUCUGAAUCAGAAAGCAAUCAACACCUUUAUUGAUGGCGAAAAGCUUCGAAAAGGCAACGACCUUUCGGAGCUCCUUACAGCUAUUGCCGACUGAGGCUAUCGAUUGUAGUUUUUUUCGAAAACUACGCUUCUUCGACGUGGUGCUUGAAAGAACUCGUCCAGAUACUGGAAUGCAUGGAUACACAAAAGCAGAUAGUGGUGUCUGUUUUCUACGAAGUGGAUCCAUCCGAUAUUCGUAAACUUGAGGGAAGGUUUGCAGAAGCUUUUGCUAAACAUGAAAGCUAUUCUAACGUUGACGUGAAGGAGGUGCAGAGUUGGAGGACUGCUCUUGCUAGAGCCACCAAUUUAUCCGGUUGGGAUUCAAAAAAUUAUAAGUUUAAUUUGUUCGCAUGCAUUUGCUAUUAAUGUAUUUUUACUGUAUAAAUCCACGGUUUUGGUCACAACUAACUUCCUUACAUAUAGAUGGCUAAGCGUUCACCAAUUUGAUUAGUUUUUGCAUAUUUAUCAUCAAGAAAAUUAACGUAUUUUUACUGUACAAAUCUGGGGUUUUAGUGACAACAAGUAUUGCCCUUCUAAUUAUUCAGUUUUAGUUUUCUAUUUUGGGCUUGUUAUAAAACUUAGCUUUGCUUUGACUCUUUCGCGAUGCUGGUUCUAAAACUUCACAGGGAUGAUGCCAAUCUUAUUGAAGAUAUUGUAGAGGAUAUCUUUAGCAAAUUGAUCCACAUCUCAUCAAGCAAAGUCGAUGGCUUGGUUGGAAUGGAUUACCACAUGGAUGAAAUGAAGUUACUAUUACGUCCUGGGGCGAACGAUGUUUUUGCUGUUGGAAUAUGGGGUUUGGGAGCUAUAGGUAAAACCACCAGCGCUUGAGCUGUUUAUGAUGAAAUUGCUUGUCAAUUUGAAGCUUGCUGCUUUCUCGAAAAUGUUAAGGAAGUGUUGACCCUAAAAACUACCAAGCUUACUUGACGCGCUGGCUGAAUAACUAAUAAGCUAACUACGUCAUUCGAUUGUUUGCGGGGCGUGCCAACUCAUCGACCGAGGAGUAAAAUUUAUUGAUGUUGCGUUGGGUUGCGCUGCUGACUUCUCGAUCUUGCGACUGUGGCCGAGGAAGGAACACUUCUCGGCCUUCGGGUUCUAGAGCCUGAAGACAAGGCUGCUAGUUCUGCGAAGUUCAAUAUCAAAUUUGACUUUCAAUGUGCCGAAUGUAGUAAUCUGUAACACCUCACUUCGCCGAGAAGGCUAAUGAGAUGACCUCUGCCAAUAAAGAUUCGAAAAUCCUUCUCGACCGAGACUUGGAUAGAUAACCAGUCGGCCUCGACGCAAUGCUGUUUAUCCAAACUGAAGGUGCUCCGCGGUCGGCUGAUUCUACUGCAACAGUGCUAUUUAUCCAAACUGAAGAUGUUCGCCGGUUGCCUUCACAAUGCUAUUUAUCCAAACUGAAGAUGUGUUGGCGAAAAAGAAAAUAAAAAAUCUCAAGAUGUUUGAGAGGUUUCGGGUAGAGCAAGGGUUUGCGCUGGGCAGUUUGUUUAUUGAGUUGAAGGUCCUUUGAUUUGUGUGAAAGCUUUGUAUAUGUAGCCGAGUCUCCUUGAUCGCCAAUCCAAAUAAAGUCAUUUUCCGAAUGUACCCCAAAAUAAUAUCAAAAUAACUGAUAUUAUCUUUGACAUAUUUCGGCAAAAAUCCAGUUAGUCUCCUUGCGCCCAGAGACUUUCACUCACAAGAGGACUUUGAACUUUCAAAGUACCCUUAUCAUUUCAAACUCAUCUGACAACAUCCAUCACCAUGCAAAGCAAAAAGCCUAGCCUACCUAGGUUUCCUAUGUCAUUAUUAUCCAGGACCCUUAUUUUCCUUGGCUUAUCACAUCCAAAAGCCAAGCCUAUCUAGGCUUUUUAUGAUCUAUCCAUGCAUGUAUAAUAACCUUCUACCGCAUCACGCAACUAUUUUCUUAUUUCAUAUGCAGUGCAAAAGCCAUCAUGACCACAUCAGUGCUAGGAGUCCCAAUCUAAGCUGGUUCACACGGUGCACUGUUUAACAAAUCCAAAUUAAUUUGGACUGUUCUUUUCGUUUCUGAGCUGGGGCUAUGAUUUGUAUCCCAUUUAUUUUGUACAAGAAAAUCAAGAUGAUUUAUCAAAAGAUAAUUAUUAUGAUUAAAAACCAUAACAUUAUCUUAAAACAAAAUUAUCUUAACUUUCUUAUAUGGCAGUCUAGAACCAUGCUUACUCAACGGUCUCGAUUGCAUGGGCCGAUGAUGUAAUUUUGGGUCCAAACAAGAAGGCGUCUCGAAUAAUGGUGCAGUACAUAUACAGGAAGUGCUUCUUUCUAGAGUAUUGAAGGAAAAGGUGCAGAGUUUAGGCACGUUGGAUCGAGGUUCCAGAAUGAUAAUGAAAAGGCUACGAAGGAAAAUAGUUUUCAUUGUUCUUGAUGACGUUGACAAAUUAUCCCAAAUUGAAGCGUUACUUGGAAAACAACAUUCAUUUGGUGGUGGAAGUAGAAUCAUUAUAACAACAAGAGAUAUGCAAUUAAUAAGUGGAGCCGAUGCUGUAUAUAAGCCCAAGAAAUUAAGUGAGCCUGAAGCUCUUGAACUCUUCAGUCAGUAUGCCUUCAAAACCCACCAACCCACAAGAGAUUAUGAUCGUCUCUCGAGGCUUGCCAUUCAACAUGCUCAUGGUGUGCCUUUAGCGCUUAAAGUCUUGGGAGCUUUGCUUGAUAACAGAAGUGUAUGGGAGUGGGAAGAUGUGUUGAAGAAAACAAAGAAAACCCAGCUCAUGGGAAUUCAGGAUGUUCGUAGAAAGAGCUUUGAUGGGUUAGACAACUCAGAGAAGGACAUAUUUCUAGAUAUUGCAUGUUUCUUUAAAGGGAUGGAGAAAGACUGUAACUAAAAUUCUUGAUAGUUGUGGCUUUUAUCCCCAUAGUGGAUUAGGAGUACUAAUUAAUAGAACUCUCAUCACUAUAUCAGAUUACGAUACGCUUAAGAUGCAUGAUUUACUACAAGAAAUGGGGUGGGAAAUAGUCCAUCAAGAAUCUAAUAAAGAUCCUGGAAGACGGAGCAGGUUAUGGAUUUAUGAAGAUUUUCAUUGUGCAUUAACGCAAAAUGCGGUGAGAUAAAUUCAUUACCUCUUUCUUUUAAGCAUGUAAUAUUGAGUAGAAAGCAGAAGUAUGAUAAAAAUCAAAUUUGGAUAUUUUCGCUCAUUGAAUUUCUACUGUUUGGUUAUCUAGGCUACAAAAGCAGUGGAUUUGUACUUUGUGCAGGUCGCUUGAUGAAAGGGAAAACAAUUGUAGACACGUAUACUUUGUUGGAGCUGGAAACAUCUUCCAAUAGACUUAAUCAUUUAAUGCGUUGCCUGAUUGGUUUAAUACAAGGUUGUAAUAUAUACUCUUCUCUACUUUACCCUCAUAUAAGCUUCAAAGAAAUGUAGGAAUGCUUCUGAUUCCGGGAAUAAAAGGUACCUACUUUUAAUGUGAAAGAUUUUUGUCACUUUGGCCUUAAAUUCUUGAUUUAAGUGACUGUUGAAGGUUUCGGAUGGUAUUCCCCAUUUAUCUUCCUUGUAAAUAUAUAUUAAAGCUUGCAGAAAUAUUUUUGAGAGCUUAUCUGCAACACUUAAUCGAUUUGUUGUUUAACAACUCUCAAAUUGGAAGCUUGCAACUUAUAGAGAUGCGGGGAUGCUUGUGUUGUCUAUUGACUAUUGUGUAUAUCCGUAGUAAGUCAACAAGCCCUAAUCCAGCUCCUUGAGCUCGGAGGAAACUUUGGAUCCACGCUCUGUUGGCGGAAACAUUGUGAUAUGUGACCGUGUGAUUAAUCGUAAUGUGUAGAAGGGACUGGUUGUGAAAGAUGGAGAAGAUGUACUAGGUAUAUGAUUUUGGCAAACACAGCUGCAUCACAUCAGAAGAUGCGGAGUUCGUUUCUUUAUAUACUAAUCGUGCGGAGGUGCAAACCAAAGCAUGGCGCAACCUAAAAAAUCAUCAUGAAAACCCUGAAGCGGAACUUCGUGUUAGUCUGACCAAUGUGUCUCCCUGGAUAACCACGGUUGGAGCUAACACCAUGGAUAGGGAUUUUCCAGCUACCGUGAAGCUCGAAAAUGGCAGGACUAUUACCGGGGUUUCGCUCUACAGGGGAAGGAUGAAGCUGUCAACAAACAAGCAAUACCAUGUUGCGUAUUUGGGAAGCAAUUCAACUAGUCAUAAUCCGAGCUCGCUCUGUUUGGAGGGGACGUUGGAUCUCCGAGUUGUGGCCAGAAAGUUUGUGAUUUGCGACCGUGGGAUUAAUCCUAGAGUGCAGAAGGGAGAAGUGGUGAAAGAAGCCGGAUGAGUUGGGAUGAUCUUGGCAAACACAGCUGCAAACGGAGAGGAGCUUGUGGCGGAUUGCAACCGGCACUCUCGGUUGUGUUCCCGGAGAGAACAAAUGUUUUUGUUUUGACACUUCAUAGAACUGUCACUAACGUUGCCCUUGUUGUUUCGAAUUACCACGCCAUUGUUUCACCGUUCAAAGGUGCUUAUGUGAAAGUCAAGCCUCGGACGUUGAAAUUCACCAAAGCCAAUCAGAAGCUGUCAUACAAAAUCAUCUUCACUACGAAAUCCCGGCAGGCAGUCCCGGAGUUCGGAGGGUUGGUGUGGAAGGAUGCAGUGCAUAGGGUGAGAAGUGUUGUGCAUUGGCCCGCUCGUCAGUGCGAAAACGAGAUUCAGAUUAUAACCUCACCAAAUCACACUCAGUUUAAUAGAAUAAAAUACAAGAAAUAAAGACACCGAGAAAUUUACGAGGUUCGGUAAAAAUCUGCGUACGUCUCCGGAGAGAUAUUGCUCUUCACUAUGAGAAUAACAGUACAAGUACACAUGAGUUAAAUCAACAUAACUCAAUCUUGAAUCCCUUGCACACCCACUCAUAGAAUUUUCCCAAGAGCCUCACUCUACCCCAAGAGUUCUUUUAAUAGAAUACUUUUCACUCUAGCUCUCUUGAUUUUCUCUUAACCCAUGUUCAACAUUUCCCAUGGAAUAGCCGAAUGCUCUCUCCAUCUUGAUGCUUUCCUCAUACCACAUCUCUCACUCUCAAUAUAAGGCCAAGCCAUCAUCAUUGUGUCUUACAUCAUCAUUAAGCAAAAAACAAACAUCAUCAUUAAAGCAAAAGCAAGCAUUAUCAUUAUGUCUUUACUCAUGAUGAUGUCCACCAAACUUUUGCUUUUACUUUGCAGCACUUGUCUGCAACUUUCAUGCAACCCACACCAUGUGAUAUUUCCACCAAAAGCAAAUACAGGUCACUUCAUUGUUGUUAAACACAAAUGUAUGAGCUAAACACAACAAGAAGCCCCAUUGUUGUAGUGUGGCUGCCACCACUAUAACUCCUGCACCGGAUUAAUUUCAAUGUGUGUUUUUAUUAAUGCUCAUUUGAAUAAACAAAUUUUCUGUAAUAGUUAGCAUCCUUCCUCUGCUUCUUGCUGUAAUCUUCUAGCUACUGUCAAGCUUAGAACACGAGCAAAACAACGAUGUGUAGUGAAAAUGUCACAGCCCGUCCCGAAGUUACAUUUGACGGGAAUGUGAAUUGACGGGAUUGCCCCUAGCAGGUGUUAAGGUAUGUGUGUGUGACAUAUUUUGGUCUAAAUACAUACAUUUCUAAGUUUUUGUUUUAAAUGGGAUUAAUGUUAGUAUGUAUGUUUUGGUGUGAUUAGGUUUUGUUUGGACCACACACACACCCAACCUGAUCUCCCUCUCUCCUUCCCCGUGCCCUCUCUCUCCUCCUUCACGACACUCUCUCCCUCUCUCCCUUCGAAGUGUACGGACGAGACCCAAAAACCUUCAAAACUCCACGGAUCGAAGCUAAAAAGGUAUGGUUCUUCAUCAUUUCGACCUCCUGAGUUGUUUGGUGCUAGUUUUAGGAAGUGAAACCCUCGAAAUCACGUUGAAAUCUCGAGGUCUGAUUUGAGUACUGUUCAUGCACACGUAAAUUUUUGAUUUUCAGGGAAUUCUAAGCUUGUAGUGAGCUUAGUGAGGUCCUAAGGAAGCUCGGGGACGUUCGUUUGAAAGUUUUGGACGUCGGGAUCGUGUAGUUCGAAGUUGGCCGUUUUCUUGGAAUUUCUCCGGUGAGAUUUCAUAGUUUUUAGAGCCUUAAACUAGUCUAUCGUGACUCUACAUGUUGAGGGCUUCAAAUUGAUAUAAAAUGCGAAGAAAAUGGUUGAGAAACGAAGGAGAACAAGGCGUUUGAAAAUCGCCCAGUUGUUCGGCCACCGGAAAAUUCAGUCUGGCGAACCGAGGUUAGGGAUGAUGCGCGUGGGGGCACGUGCCACAUCAAAAAAAAAUUCUAAAAAUUUGUCGACGUUCGUGACGUCGAGUAGGUCACUGUGGUAUAUUCAUAUACCCAAUUUGAGCACCGUAUGAGAAGUUAUUACGAAUUAUUGGUAAUGUGCUUUAAAUAACGUUUUUAUAGUUGUUUCGCAUAUAGGUGACACCUAUCCCGAGGACGAGCGUAUCCAGGGAUGUCACGGGGGUUACGACCCUUCGACUUAUCAGAGAGUGGGCAAUUUUUAUUUUCGUAUUACCUAUAUACUCUUAAUUGUCCCAGAAAUUGAAUUUAUAUGAAAGUAUGUUUUCAAUUGCCAUGAUGCAUAUUAUAAAUUAUAUGAACUGAUAUUGAUGCAUAUAUAUAAAUGUGAAUUGGUGCUGUGGACGCACAUGUGAGUAUCAGGUGAGUUUAUAUGGUUUAUAUGAAUGAAUGAUGAUGUGAUUACGUUGAGAACUCACAACCUGCACCCUUGGUAUUAGUGCUUAUAGUAUUCACCGCACCGUACACUCACCUUGGAUCCAAGUAGGUGCAUGUCGUACAGACCAUGAGAGGGUUCCGACAUGCUAGUCGUACAUAUCACUGAGGUGAUUCCGACUGGUAGGUGACUUUAGAUUAUGUGCACAGAUGAUUGAUGAGAGAAGCACUAGAGCGUAUUUUACACCAUUCUUGUCGUACAGACUACUUUAGGUAGUUCCGACAUUAUGUGCAGUGUAGUGCCGUACAGGUCACUGUGGUGACUUUAGCAGUGCUGUACAGGUCACAGUUUGUGACUCCGGCUGGUUUGGAUGUUGGGCUUUAUAAAUUAACCGUAUAGGGCCAAUUACAGGGUCUCCGGUUGAUUCUUUAUAUCCUGUCAUAUUGAUGCAUCCAUAUUCUGUUUUGACAUUUAUAGCAUGGCAUAGUCUCUGAAUUUGAGUUAUAUGAAGAUAUGUAUACUAUUAUGUUAUUUUCUGGGAAAAAGUAUACAGGUUUUACAGUGAGGGGUUAGAAUUGUUUUUGGCGAAAUGUUUUUGAAAAGCUUUGGUUUUACUGACCCACUCUAUCUUAUUUUUCGCCCCUCCAGGUUCUAGUUAGUUACGCUGAUCACCCAUGAGGAUUUCUACGGAGUUUUGACAGACUUCUUUAAUGUAGGAUUCACCUGCGGGUGUUGUAUUUUAGUUAUGGUCCUACUCGACUGCAACUAGUGUUUAUGCUCUGUUUAUGUGUGUGUCCACACUUUAAUUCACUCUAGCAUGUUAGUCGGUUAACCUUUGCUAGUAUUUGGUUUUAAUUCAUUCGUAAUUCUUUUAGUUUCUGCUUCCGCACCGCACUUAUGGUUACGUCACACUAACGUGACGGCCAGGACCCCUUGAUUCUAGGAUCGGGGUGUUUCAGUUUGGUAUCAGAGUUUAGGUUGCAAUCCUGUAUAAUUGUUAAUGUUCUAAUGGCCUUUGGUGUCUUCUGUUAGAACCAUGCCGCCUCGUAUGGAAUCACGCCGUGCUUCUGGGUCUAAUUUCCCCAAUAUAGCUCAAUUAGGGGAAGCGAUGACUCAUGCUUUUCAGAAUGUUAUCCGCCCUUCUCCUCCUCAAAGAACACCCUUGGAGACCAUGUAUAAUCUGAAAUUGGAUCGUUUUUUGGGUAAUGAAGGUCACGAGGGGGCAGAAAAAUGGCUAGAUCAUAUUGAGAAGACUUUCCAGGUGAUGCAGAGUCAGGGGAAUCUCCAUGCUGAUAGAUGGGUGGAUACUACCACUUGGUUUUUGGGCCGAGAGCCAGCAGCAUGGUGGGAAAAUCAGACUAGGUUCAUGUCGCCUGAGACGCAGCUGACUGGAAAGUGUUUAAAGAGAAUUUUAUGAAGAGAUUUGUUCCUCCAGAAUACAUAGAUCGCAAGAAGCAAGAGUUCACCCGGUUGAAGCAAAAAGAUAUGUCAGCGCAUGAGUACUACAUGAAAUUUACCGACUUAUCUCGUUAUGACCCUGAUACAGCUGGUAAUCAGGCAGAGAUGCUUUGCCGUUUUAAGUUGGGAACCAAGAAGAAAUGGAGGACUUUUGCUAGUGCACUUCCUUGUUCUAAUUAUCAUGAGUUUUCUGAGAUGUUGGUUCGGAUAGAGGAUUCCGACAAUCUCCCUAGUAACAGUGAGGACGAGGAAGAUAAGAAUGAUAACCAGAAGAGGGAUGAUAGGGGUAAAGGGAUCUCCACUCAAGGACCACGUAAGACGUAAAGUUUCAAGAAAAGUAGGGAUAGUUCGAGUUCUUCUAGUGGAGGACUUAGUAUCACAGGCCCGAUGAGAGGUGGUAGAUUUGCUGGAGGACCCAGGUUUCAGAGGCAGAGGGAUUUUAGUGGUGCUGGUGGUUCGGGUGCUCCGUUGUGUCACCAUUGUAACUUUAGGCAUCAUGGGGAGUGUAGGAGAAGUGGUGCUUGCUACACUUGUGGACAGAUGGGACAUAGGGCUGCUCAGUGUUCCCAGAGUCAGCAGAGAUCUCAGCAGUCCACUAUGCCACCUCCAGCGCCGAUUCAGCGGAACUUGGGAUCAGGCAGCUAUGGUCAGAUGGGACGUGGUGGUGCUUACCACUACCAGGGUGAUACUCCUCCCUAUGCUUCUGGAUAGUACCAGUACCCCCAUGAUCCUUAUUAUCACUCUGGUAUUCCUAAGACUUUGGAGGUUACGCUUCUUAUGCUUCUAUGCCAGCUAGUGGGUCUCAGUGGCAUCAGGGAAGUUAGCCCCGACAAGGAGAGGUUGCUGCCAGCAGUGCAGGACCGUCUAGACAGUCUAGCUAGAUAAGACAUGGGCGUACUUCUCAGGGGCGAGGUAACCAAGGCAGCAGAGGUCGUGGUGGACGUCAGCAGGCUCAGGGAUGAGUUAACCACAUCUCACUGCAGGAUGCUCAGAACCAUCCAGAUUUGAUUAUGGGUACGUUGAAUAUUCUUGGUCACUUUGCUAGAGUUUUAAUUGAUUGUGGUGCUACACAUUCCGUGAUUUCUUACGUUUGCUCAAACGACCCAACCUCACCCUACACCUCUAGGAUUUGAUUUAGAGUUUGCUAUGCCUAGAGGGGAUACGUGUUAUGUUGAUAGUGCUUAUUCUGGUUGUCCAGUGAUGGUAGAUAUAGUGGUUAUGCCAGCUAAUCUUAUCCCGUUAGAUAUUGUGGAUUUUGAUGUGAUUUUAGGGGCAGAUUGGUUGCAUUAUAAUCGUGCCCAUAUAGAUUGUUACGGGAAAUCAGUUACUUUUCUUCGUCUUGGACUACCAGAGGUUACUUUUGUGGGUGAAAGAAGUGGGGUGAGACAUGGUGUUAUUUCGGCCAUGAGAGCAAAGAAGUUGUUAUCGAAAGGUUGUCAGGGAUACUUAACACAUGUGUUGUUAAAUGAUGUUGUUCCUAGCAGUAUCGAGGAAGUUGGUGUAGUUAGACACUAUCCUGAUGUGUUCCCAGAUGAUUUGCCUGGAUUGCCGCCAGACAGAGAUGUGGAGUUUUCCAUUGAUUUACUUCCAGGUACGGAUCUUAUAUCUUUGACUCCCUAUAGAAUGGCUCCAGCUGAAUUGAGAGAAUUGAAAAUUCAGUUACAGGAAUUAACUGAUAAGGGUUUCAUUUAACCUAGUACUUCACCUUGGGGAGCUCCGGUGUUGUUUGUAAGAAAGAAAGAUGGAACCUUGAGAUUAUGUAUUGAUUACAGGCAAUUGAAUCGGGUGACGAUUAAAAACCAUUAUCCAUUGCCUCGUAUCGAUGAUUUGUUUGAUCAGCUUAAAGGUGCAUGUGUGUUCUCUAAGAUUGAUUUAAGAUCUGGUUAUUAUCAGUUGAAGAUUAAAGAGGAUGAUGUCCCUAAGAUGGCUUUCCGAACCCGUUAUGGACAUUAUGAAUUUUUGGUGAUGCCAUUUGGAUUGACUAAUGCACCUGCAACCUUCAUGAGGCUAAUGAAUGAAGUAUUCCAGCAAUAUCUUGAUAGAUUCGUCAUUGUUUUUAUCGAUGAUAUUCUGGUAUAUUCUAAGUCUGAAUUAGAUUAUAUUCGACAUCUUAACUUGGUACUAAGGAAAUUUAGGGAGCAUCAAUUGUAUGCCAAGUUUAGCAAGUGUCUGUUUUGGUUGAAUGAAGUGGCAUUUUUGGGGCAUGUAGUAUCGGCACGAGGAAUUCAAGUAGAUCCUCAAAAGAUAGCAACAGUAGAGAAUUGGGAACAACCGCGAACCGUCACUGAGGUACGGAGUUUCCUUGAUCUAGCAGGUUAUUAUCGACGGUUUGUUCAAGAUUUUUCUAUGAUUGACUUGCCACUAACGAAGUUAACCAGGAAGAUGUUAAGUUCGAGUGGGACGAGAAGUGUGAGCAAAGUUUCCAGCAGUUGAAAUAUUGCCUCACUCAUGCUCCAGUAUUGGUACUUCCUGAUGAUAGUGGUAACUUUAAGAUUUAUAGUGAUGCUUCGUUGAAUGGUUUGGGAUGUGUUUUGAUGCAGCAUAAUAGAGUGAUUGCCUAUGCUUCUCGGCAGUUGAAGAUUCAUGAAAGGAAUUAUCCUACUCACGAUCUUGAAUUGGCAGCCAUUAUUUUUGCUUUAAAAAUUUGGAGGCAUUAUCUCUAUGGUGAGAAAUGUAAGAUCUUCACAGACCAUAAGAGCCUUCAGUAUCUUUUCACUCAGCAUGAUCUUAAUCUUCGUCAAUGAAGAUGGAUGGAAUUAUUAAGUGAUUAUGACUGCACUAUUGAGUAUCAUCCGGGUCGCAAAUGUGGUAGCUGAUGCACUGAGUAGGAAACCUUAAGGUCGACUCAAUGCUUUGUAUGCAUGCCGUGUUCCUCUUCUUGCAGAUUUGAGAGCUACUGGAGUACAGUUAGAGUUAGAAGAUCAAAAGGAAGCUUUUCUUGCUAGUUUCCAAGUCAAGCCAGUUUUAGUCGAUCGUGUACUGGAAGCUCAGUUGGUUGAUGAAGAAAUCCAAGAAUUGAUUCAAUUGAGAAAUGAGGGGAAAAAGAAAGAUCUCCAGAUUCGAGAAUCAGAUGGUAUGCUUAUGCAGGAGAACAAAAUGUAUGUGCCGAAUAAUGAAGAAUUAAAGAAGGAAAUUUUGGAUGAAGCUCAUUGUUCAGCUUAUGCGAUGCAUCCAGGAGGGACUAAGAUGUACCAUACCAUUUGACCGUUUUAUUAUUGGCCAGGUAUGAAGAGGGAAAUUGCUAAGUAUGUAAGUAAGUGUAUUGUUUACCAACAAGUCAAAGCUGAGAGGAAGAAGCCUUUUGGUCGGAUGCAACCACUUCCCGUUCCUCAGUGGAAAUGGGAAAAUAUAACUAUGGAUUUUGUGUAUAAGCUUCCACGUACACGAAAUGGAUUUGAUGGUGUUUGGGUGAUUGUAGAUCGGCUUACGAAGUCAUCACACUUCAUUCCAUUGAGAGAAAAGUACCCUCUGAAUAAAUUGGCUAAGUUGUUCAUUACGAAGAUUGUAAAGUAUAAUGGAGUUCCAGUGAACAUUAUUUCUGAUCGAGAUCCUAGAUUUACUUCUAAGUUCUGGGUAGCUUUUCAAGAAGCUCUUGGUACGAAAUUACUUUACAGUACUGCUUAUCAUCCUCAAACUGAUGGACAAUCAGAGAGGGCCAUUCAGACGUUAGAGGAUAUGUUGAGAUCUUCAGUGUUACAGUUUGGUGAUUCUUGGCAUGAUCGCCUAGACUUGAUGGAAUUUGCCUACAAUAAUAGUUUUCAUUCGAGCAUUAGUAUGUCACCGUUUGAGACACUUUAUGGUAGCUUGUCGUACGCCAUUGUGUUGGUCAGAGGUUGGCGAAAGAGUACUAGAGGGCCCAGAGAUUGUGGAUGAGACUACUCAAAAUGUUCAAGUGAUUAAGGCUAACCUGAAAGCGGCCUAGGAUCAACAGAAGAGUUUAGCAGAUAGACAUGCUACUGAUCGAGUUUAUGAUGUGGGUAACUUGGUAUUCUUGAAAUUAUCACCUUGGAGAGGUGUAGUACGUUUUGAAAAAAGAUGCAAGCUAAGUCCGAGGUAUAUAGGACCUUAUGAGAUCACUGAGAGGAUUGGUGAAGUUGCUUACAGAUUAGAGUUGCUUUCGGAGUUAUCCAAAGUACAUAAUGUGUUUCAUGUCUCGAUGCUUCGACAUUAUAUUUCAGAUCCUUCACAUGUGAUUCCUCCUCAACCUCUGGAGAUUAAUCCGGAUUUAACGUAUGAUGAAGAACCAGUGACUAUCUUGGAUUGGAAAGAUAAAGUUCUAAGGAAUAAGACAGUGAGCUUAGUAAAAGUGUUGUGGAGGAACCACUCAGUGGAAGAAGUUACUUAGGAGACGGAAGAUCGAAUGAGAGAGAUGUAUCCGAGGUUGUUUUAUGGUUAUUGAUGGUUUGUUUGGUUGUAUGAAUUUCGAGGACGAAAUUCUAUAAGGGGGAAGAUUGUCACAGCCCGUCCCAAAGUUACAUUUGACGGGAAUGUGAAUUGACGGGAUUGCCCCUAGCAGGUGUUAAGGUAUGUGUGUAUUUUGGUCUAAAUACAUACAUUUCUAAGUUUUUGUUUUAAGUGGGAUUAAUGUUAGUAUGUAUGUUUUGGUGUGAUUAGGUUUUGUUUGGACCACACACACACCCAACCUGAUCUCCCUCUCUCAUUCCCCGUGCCCUUUCUCUCUCAUCCCUCACGACACUCUCUCCCUCUCUCCUUUCGAAGUGUACGUAUGAGACCCAAAAACCUUCAAAACUCCACGGAUCGAAGCUAAAAAGGUAUGGUUCUUCAUCAUUUCGACCUCCUGAGUUGUUUGGUGCUAGUUUUAGGAAGUGAAACCCUCGAAAUCACGUUGAAAUCUCGAGGUCCGAUUUGAGUACUGUUCAUGCACACGUAAAUUCUUCAUUUUUAGGGAAUUCUAAGCUUGUAGUGAGCUUAGUGAGGUCCUAAGGAAGCUCGGGGAAGUUUGUUUGAAAGUUUUGGACGUCGGGAUCGUGUAGUUCGAAGUUGGCCGGUUUCUUGGAAUUUCUUCGGUGAGAUUUCGUAGUUUUUAGAGCCUUAAACUAGUCUAUCGUGAUUCUACAUGUUGAGGGCUUCAAAUUGAUAUAAAAUGCGAAGAAAAUGGUUGAGAAACAAAGGAGAACAAGGCGUUUGAAAAUCGCCCAGUUUUCCGGCCACCGGAAAAUUCAGUCCGGCGAACCGAGGUUAGGGAUGAUGCGCGUGGGGGCGCGUGUCCCCGUGCCUGCCUUGGCGCGUGGGGGCACGUGCCACAUCAAAAAAAAUUUCUAAAAAUUUGUCGACGUCCGUGACGUCGAGUAGGUCAUUGUGGUAUAUUCAUAUACCCAAUUUGAGCACCGUAUGAGAAGUUAUUACGAAUUAUUGGUAAUGUGCUUUAAAUAACGUUUUUAUAGUUGUUUCGCAUAUAGGUGACACCUAUCCCAAGGACGAGCGUAUCCAGGGACGUCACGGGGGUUACGACCCUUCGACUUAUCAGUGAAUGGGCAGUUUUUAUUUUCGUAUUACCUAUAUACUCUUAAUUGUCCCAGAAAUUGAAUUUAUAUGAAAGUAUGUUUUCAAUUGCCAUGAUGCAUAUUAUAAAUUAUAUGAAUUGAUAUUGAUGCAUAUAUAUAUAAAUGUGAAUUGGUGCUGUGGACGCACAUGUGAGUAUCAGGUGAGUUUAUAUGGUUUAUAUGAAUGAAUGAUGAUGUGAUUGCGUUGAGAACUCAUAACCUGCACCCUUGGUAUUAGUGCUUAUAGUAUUCACCGCACCGUACGCUCACCUUGGAUCCAAGUAGGUGCAUGUCGUACAGACCAUGAGAGGGUUCCGACAUGCUAGUCGUACAGAUCACUGAGGUGAUUCCGACUGGUAGGUGACUUUAGAUUAUGUGCACAGAUGAUUGAUGAGAGAAGCACUAAAGCGUAUUUUACACCAUUCUAGUCGUACAGACUACUUUAGGUAGUUCCGACAUUAUGUGCAGUGUAGUGCCGUACAGGUCACUGUGGUGACUCUAGCAGUGCCGUACAGGUCACAGUUUGUGACUUCGGCUGGUUUGGAUGUUGGGCUUUAUAAAUUAACUGUACAAGGCCAAUUACAAGGUCUCCGGUUGAUUCUUUAUAUCACCUGUCAUAUUGAUGCAUCCAUAUUCUGUUUUGACAUUUAUAGCAUGGCAUAGUCUCUGAAUUUGAGUUAUAUGAAGAUAUGUAUACUAUUAUGUUAUUUUCUGGGAAAAAGUAUACAGGUUUUACAGUGAGGGGUUAGAAUUGUUUUUGGUGAAAUGUUUUUGAAAAGCUUUGGUUUUACUGACCCACUCUAUCUUGUUUUUCGCCCCUCCAGGUUCUAGUUAGCUGCGUUGAUCACCCACGAGGAUUUCUACGGAGUUUUGACAGACUUCUUUAAUGUAGGACUCACCUGUGGGUGAUGUAUUUUAGUUAUGGUCUUACUCGACUGCAACUAGUGUUUAUGCUCUGUUUAUGUGUGUGUCCACACUUUAAUUCACUCUAGCAUGUUAGUCGGUUAACCUUUGCUAGUAUUUGGUUUUAAUUCCUUCGUAAUUCUUUUAGUUUCUGCUUCCGCACUGCACUUAUGGUUACGUCACACUCACGUGACGACCAGCACGCCUUGAUUCUAGGAUCGGGGUGUGUCAGAAAACGUAGAUUACGCAAGUUCAAAUCACAUUGAUGUUGUUAAUUAGAAGAUUCAGAACUAGAUUAGAAUAAUUUCUUAAUUUGCUCAAUUUCCAUAUUGAUUCACAUGUUUCUGCACUAUUUUUAUGUCACGACUCACAAGCAUUUGGUAGGACUUCUGGUUGUUUUUGCGAGAAUGACAAUUUCAAACAUGCACGAAACAAAACAGAUUUAAACACGACAUGUUAUAGGACUUGAGAUUCACGAUAUUUGUAGCCGCAUAAAUAUGAAGAUUUUAUGGUAGGUUAUAUACCUUACCAAAAUUUCAACUUGUCCAAAGAAUUAAGUGCAUUUGAUAUUCGAGAUGUCUCACUAAUUGUGUGAAUAUUUCAGUUCAAAUAUGUCUCUAGUUAUACUCAAGUUUCUCUCUAAACUGUUUGAGUACAAUUUGGAUCAAAUUCAAUACCGUCAUGAACAACUUACAAACUAAACUCAAGAAAUGGGAUUACCAAUUUACCAUCAUUAACCUUUUUGUUUCUUUUGACGAAAAAAAAAAAAUAAUGCUGGCCGGCCAUGGGCCUAUUUGGACUCAUUCUGAUGGGCCUUUUAAAAAUUUAAAACCAGGCUAGUCCAAUUCGUAUUUGAAUUUCCCAAUAAGUUGAAGUAUUAUUUUAGGAUGAUGUUAUCCAGACACUCAUUUCUUUUUUUCAUACACGUCUUUUGAUUUUAGGCAAUCGAAUCAAAUAAGUUGAAUAAGAUCAAAUGACAAAAUUAAUAAGAAUAUGUGAGAGGUAAAAAAUAUGUGUGAAUAGCACUACCCUUAUUUUAUUACUAGCUUCUUUCUUUUGCAUUUGAUUUUUUUUGGAUACUUUAUUCUAUUUUUUUAAAUUGGCUUAAUUUUAUAUUUAGAAUAAAUUCAACAAAAAAAACCACUAACUUCUCAAUAAGAAGCGGUUAUUUCUUUUCAAAUUUUUAAUUACUAAACUGUUAUUUAAAAUUUACUAGAAUAUGCUAUGCACAAACUGUCUGUUAAUUUUUUGUUUUUGUUUUUAAAGUUAAAGGAGAGCAGCAAGAGAGUGAGAGAUAACGUAAGAGUGAGGAGAGAGAGGAUUAUUUUUUAUUUUUUAAAAUAGAUAUGUUAAAAUCACCUAUAAGUGGGGUUUAAAUAAAAAAUAACAAAAUUUUGUUUUGUAAAAUUAUGUUACUGCCUUUAACUUUUUUAUUGUAAUAAUAAUUUUUUCAUCUUCUUUCAAUUGACAAAAAAAAUUCUAUUAAUAUGUAGUUUAGUUAAGAUAAACAAAAAGCCUUUUUGCAUAAGUAAUGUUCCAACAAAGUUUAUUAUUAUUUUUCCUUUUUUUUUUCCGCUUUUCUUCUUAUUUUUUUGCUAAUUUUUCUGGUUUGUUUAAUUUUUUUUUACAAAAAUACCUUUGGAGAUGAGAAAUCAAAUUUUCACGUUAGUUUUGGAUUUUUUUUUAAUUCAGGGGUUUUUUAGUCCAAUUGUUUCUUGUGACACCUUGUGACUUUAAUGUAAAGUUCUGGCUUCCUAAUGAUAAAAAUAUUUUUUUUAACAAACGAUAUUAUUUGUACUAAGAGAAAAGGUGAGCUAAGCUUCACAUUGCCUAGCAAUAAUGUGGUUUAAAUUCACCUUUAGUGAUAAUUGAAACUAAAAAUUAGAAGUAAAAAGGAAUACUACUAAACCAGAAUAUUAAGUGGUAAAAAUGAAGAUAAAUUAGUAAUAUUAUUAUUUUUAUGUACAAACCUAGUAGAAAGAAACUCAUUAACUUCCCGACCAUUUUACAGAGUAUCCUCUUUCCAAUUUUAUAGAAUUACAUUUUUUUUUUGGGAUAGUGCUAGGAAACCACCUAGUAAAAGGAAACUUAUUUUCGUCGACUCAUUUGACUUUCCGACGAUUUUACAGUUUUUUUCUUUCAAAUUUAUAAAAUUAUAUUUUUUUAAUAAUGUUAAGAAAAUCAAAAUUUUAAAUCAAAUUUGCAAGUUAAAAGAUAUUUCAUCAAUUAAAAACAUCAUGCUAAUUGAUAUUCAAUGAAUAAUCUAAUCUCUACUAAUUAAUAAAAUAUUUUUUGUCAACCAAAAAAUGAUGAAAAGACAAAUUAGUCUUUUAUCACAAAAAAAAUGAUGGGUAAUAAUGUAAUUUCACAUGUCCAAAUUUUAUUGUUUUUUGUUGAAGUCUCACCUACGAGUGAUGUUAAAAUACCUCAAAUAUUUAUAUAAAAAAAACCAAAAAAAAAAAAAACCUCCCACUCCUCCACGUUCUCUCUUUCUCCCGCUCUCUCCCUCUCUCUCCCUCUCUCUCCUUCUCAUUUUCUAACAAAAUGUGUUUAAAUAUACAAAGUGUGUAGGCAAAUACUAGUCAACUACAACUUAGUUUAUAAAUUCACCUUAAAAAAUUUAGUUUUCUUAACAUUACAUUUUUGUUUUGUUUUAAUAUUUCAUUAAAACAAACAAAAAAAUCACAGCGGAAACGAAAAAGGCCCCAAAAAACAGAGAUUAGGCCCCAAAAAACAGAUGUCAAUGGCUGCUUCUUCUUCUUCCUCUUCCUCGUGGAAGUACGACGUCUUCCUGAAUUUCAGAGGCGAAGACACUCGCAAGAUCUUCGUCGGCCAUCUCUACAGAGCUCUGGAUCAGAAAGCAAUCAACACCUUCAUCGACGCGGAAAAGCUCAGAAAAGGCAACGACCUUUCGGAACUCCUUUCAGCCAUCGAAGAGUCAAGGAUUUCGAUCGUGGUUUUCUCCCAGAACUACGCUUCUUCGACGUGGUGCUUGAAAGAACUGGUCAAAAUCCUGGCGUGCAUGGAUACAAAGAAUCAGAUAGUGGUGCCGAUCUUCUACCAAGUCGAUCCAUCUGAAGUUCGUAAGCUCAAGAGAAGUUUUGCAGAAGCUUUUGCUCAACACGAACGCGAAUCGAACGCCGAAAUGGAAGAGGUGAAGAGCUGGAGGUCCGCACUAACCAGAGCCACCAAUUUAUCCGGAUGGGAUUCGCGAAAAUACGAGUAAUUACUGUUCAAUUAUAUUCUUAAUUACUAUUGAAUUGGGAUUUUUAAAGCAUCUAGUUUAAUUCGGUGCUGUUUUUCAUAUUUCACAGGGAUGAUGCCAAGCUUAUUGAGGAAAUUGUGGUUGACAUAUUUAAGAGAUUGAUCCAUGUCUCCUCAAGCAAAGAUAAUGGCUUGGUUGGAAUGGAUUACCACAUAGAUAAAGUGAAUUCACUGUUACGUCCUGGGGUGAAUGAUGUUUUCACUGUUGGAAUAUGGGGUAUGGGAGGUAUAGGCAAAACCACCAUCGCUCGCGCUGUUUAUGAUGAAAUCGCUUGUCAAUUUGAAGCUUGCUGCUUUCUCGAAAAUAUCAAGGAAGGCUUCUCGAAAAAUGGUGCAGCACAUAUGCAGGAAGUGCUUCUUUCUAGAAUCUUGAAGGAAAAGGUGCAGAGUUUAGGCACGUUGGAUCGAGGUUCCAGAGUGAUAAUGGAAAGGCUACAAAGGAAAAAAGUGUUCAUUGUUCUUGAUGACGUUGAUGAAUUAUCCCAAAUCGAAGCCUUACUUGGAGAGCAGCAUUCAUUUGGCGGUGGAAGUCGGGUCAUUAUAACAACUAGAGAUAAACAAUUAUUAAGUGGAGCUGGUGCUGUAUAUGAGCCCGAGAACUUAAGGGAGCCAGAAGCUCUUAAACUCUUCAAGCAGUAUGCCUUCAGAACAAACCAACCCACCAGAGUUUAUGAUCAGCUCUCAAGGGAUGUCAUACAAUAUGCUCAAGGUCUGCCUUUAGCACUCAAAGUGUUGGGAGCUUUUCUUGAUAACAAAACAUUGCCCGAGUGGGAAGAUGUGUUAGAAAAAAUAAGGAAGAUCCCGCAAAGGGGAAUUCAUAAUGUGCUUAAAACAAGCUUCGAUGGACUGGAUGAUUCAGAGAAGAAUGUCUUUCUAGAUAUUGCAUGUUUCUUGAAAGGAAUGGAUAUAGACAUGGCAAAAAAAAUUCUGGACAGUUGUGGCUUCUAUCCCCAUACUGGAAUAAGAGUUCUAAUUGAUCGAGCUCUAAUAUCUGUCUCAGAGUGGGGGACACUGGAGAUGCAUGAUUUACUAGAGGAAAUGGGUCGGGAAAUCGUUCGCCAAGAAUCUAUCAAAGAGCCUGGAGAAAGAAGUAGGUUGUGGAGUUAUGAAGAUGUUCAUCAUGUGCUGACUAAAAAUACAGUGAGAUAUCUUUUUCUUAUGCAAUGUUUAGUAGAAAACUUCAGCUUUUGACCAAAAUCUAUUUUAUAGCAAACAUGCAUUGUUUAUAAUAUUCAAUAAGGUUGUCAGUGUUUUCCUUCACUUUAAAUUACAUUGUUGGUUUAUCCAGGCUACAGAAGCAGUUGAAACCAUAAUCCUGGAUUCGGCAAUCUUGAAAGAGGGAUGCUCAAAUACUGAAGCUUUUGUUAGUAUGACAAAACUAAGACUGCUCAUGAUCGGUGAUGACGCUGAUAUUUACACCAAGCAUUUUUACAAAUAUCAUCUUGCAGUCAGGGAUUCAUUUGGCCAUCAAACUCCAAGUGAUUGCUUCAUAGAACACUGGAUUGCGGACUUAAAGUUCCAAUCUUCUCAAUUGAGGUGCCUCAUCUGGCGUGAUUGCCCCCUAAAGUCUUGGCCAUCCAACUUUCAGUUCAAGAAUCUUGUAAACCUUGACAUGAGCUAUAGUUGCAUCGAACAACUUUGGAAAGGAGCUGAGGUACGAUUUUUCAUUUACGUAAAUUUAUUAUUUUCAAAGUUUAGGUUCUGAGUUGUGCAUGUUUUCUUGGACUUUUUAACAGCCUCUGGAAAAGUUGAAAUUCAUCAAUUUAUGUCAUUGUCAAUACCUUAAGAAAACCCCUGACUUCACAAGGGCUACAAGUCUUGAGGAACUGAGAUUCGAAAAUUGUACAAGGUUAUGUGAGGUUGACCCAUCCAUUUCAGCUUUGAAAAACCUUGCUAUAUUGAGUCUAACUUGGUGCAUUGAUCUUAAGAUUCUUCCGAGCAUCACUGGUAUGAAGUCUCUUAAAACCAUUCGUCUUUCCGGUUGCUCAAGCCUUGAGAAGUUUCCUGAGAUUUCAGAUGUUAUGGAGAAGCUAUCAGAGUUAUAUUUAGGUGGGACUGCAAUUAAAGAACUGCCUUCAUCAAUUAAUAAACUCACGGGCCUUGCUACUUUGGACCUACGAGGCUGUCGAGAACUCAAGAGCCUGCCGAGCAGCAUUCAUAUGGGAUCUCUUCAAACCUUUAAUCUUUCUGGUUGCUCAAACCUUGAGAUGUUUCCAGUGAUUUCAGAAGUUAUGGAGGAGCUAUCAGAGCUUCAUUUAGAUGGGAUUGCAAUUAAAGAACUGCCUUCGUCAAUUAAUAAACUCACGGGCCUUACUGUUUUGGACCUAUCUGGGUGUCAAGAACUCAAGAGCCUGCCGAGCAGCAUUCAUAUGAGAUCUCUUCAAACCCUUAAUCUUUCUGGUUGCUCAAACCUUGAGAAGAAGUUUCCUGAGAUUUCAGAUGUUAUGGAGAAGCUAUCAGAGUUAUAUUUAGGUGGGACUGCAAUUAAAGAACUGUCUUCGUCAAUUAAUAAACUCACGGGUCUUCCUGCUUUGGACCUACGUGGCUGUCAAGAACUCAAGAGCCUGCCGAGGAGCAUUCAUAUGAGAUCUCUUCAAACCCUUAAUCUUUCUGGUUGCUCAAACCUUGAGAAGUUUCCUGAGAUUUCAGAUGUUAUGGAGAAGUUAUCAGAGUUAUAUUUAGGUGGGACUGCAAUUAAAGAACUGUCUUCAUCAAUUAAUAAACUCACGGGCCUUGCUACUUUGGACCUACGAGGCUGUCGAGAACUCAAGAGCCUGCCGAGCAGCAUUCAUAUGGGAUCUCUUCAAACCCUUAAUCUUUCUGGUUGCUCAAACCUUGGGAAGUUUACAGAAAUUUCAGAUGUUAUGGAGAAGCUAUCAGAGUUAUAUUUAGCUGGGACUGCAAUUAAAGAACUGUCUUCGUCAAUUAAUAAACUCACGGGCCUUACUGUUUUGGACCUAUCUGGGUGUCAAGAACUCAAGAGCCUGCCGAGCAGCAUUCAUAUGAGAUCUCUUCAAACCCUUAAUCUUUCUGGUUGCUCAAACCUUGAGAAGUUUCCAGAGAUUUCAGAUGUUAUGGAGAAGCUAUCAGAGUUAUAUUUAGAUGGGACUGCAAUUAAAGAACUGCCUUCGUCAAUUAAUAAACUCACGGGCCUUACUGUUUUGGACCUAUAUGGGUGUCAAGAACUCAAGAGCUUGCCGAGCAGCAUUCGUGUGGGAUCUCUUCAUACCCUUUUUCUUUCAGGCUGCUCAAAACUUGAGAAGUUUCAUGAGAUUUCAGAUGUUGUGGAGGAGCUAUCAGAGCUUCAUUUAGAUGGGACUGCAAUUAAAGAAUUGCCUUCGUCAAUUAAUAAACUCACAGGUCUUCUUACUUUGGACCUACGAGGCUGUUCGAGAACUCAAGAGCCUGCCGAGCAGCAUUCAUAUGGGAUCUCUUCAAACUCUUAAUCUUUCUGGUUGCUCAAACCUUGAGAAGUUUACAGAGAUUUCAGAUGUUAUGGAGAAGCUAUCAGAGUUAUAUUUAGCUGGGACUGCAAUUAAAGAACUGUCUUCGUCAAUUAAUAAACUCACGGGCCUUAUUACUUUGGACCUGAAAGGUUGUCGAGAACUCAAGAGCCUGCCGAGCAGCUUUCAUAUGGGAUCUCUUCAAACCCUUAAUCUUUCUGGUUGCUCAAACCUUGAGAAGUUUCCAGAGAUUUCAGAUGUUAUGGAGAAGCUAUCAGAGUUAUAUUUAGAUGGGACUGCAAUUAAAGAACUGCCUUCGUCAAUUAAUAAAACUCACGGGCCUUACUGUUUUGGACUUAUAUGGGUGUCAAGAACUCAAGAGCUUGCCGAGCAGCAUUCGUAUGGGAUCUCUUCAUACCCUUUUUCUUUCAGGCUGCUCAAAACUUGAGAAGUUUCCAGAGAUUUCAGAUGUUAUGGAGAAGCUAUCAAAGCUUUAUUUAGAUGGGACUGCAAUUAAAGAACUGCCUUCGUCAAUU